AGCAUACUGCAUGCUCUAGCAGUAAAAUCCUACACAAGUUAAUUACCCGCUAAUAAUUUGCCCGCGCUGCAAGGUUCGUUUCACUGACUGAUAUAACGUACUGACCACCGUUUUAUUUUUCUUUUUUACUAUACUAAUAAAUAAUUAGACGCGGAUGCCGGAGCCGCGGGGAGCUACAAGCGGACGCAGUCGAUGCCGUCGACCCCGACGACGCCGGUGACGCCGUCGUCGUCGUCGACGACGACGACGCCGCGGGGCGCCAGCAACGUGUGGCGCAGCGUGUUCCACCCGGGGAGCAACCUGGCCACCAAGGGCAUGGGUGCCAACCUCUUCGACCGCCCGCAGCCAAACUCCCCCACCGUCUACGACUGGUAAGUACUAGUAGCAAUAAGCAGAAGCAUGCAUGCAUCAUCUCGCUGCCCCGUCGGUGGCUAUGAAUCACUUGGUUAAUUGCAGAUACACCUACAACGUCGGUGUGGCUAGCCACGUGAUCUGCUCAUUCAACAGCAGAUCCAGCAUCUAACUAAUAAUUAUGAGCCCGUAACUUAAACUAUUUUUCGAUGAUUUAUUAUGCCGAUAAAAAUAUUGCUAAAUAGCUGACGGAUUCGACAUAUAAGUCCAAACAAAUAGACUCUAUAAGCACAAACUUGGGCUGCUGUGCUGCUGCUCUCCCACUCUUCCUCUCAUGAGCCCUGUUUAGCUAAAUGAAUGGUUGAUCUUAAUUAGUUUCUGUUACAAGCACCCAGAAAGUUCCAUAAUCAAGACGAUACAUGUGCACUGGUGAAGUCAGCACACACACAAUAUUAAAAAAAUAAUAAUAAGCAAAAGCAAUAUGAGAUCCACUUAGCCAAUAACCAUGAUUCGCUCACGUGGCAUGCCAAUCCAGAAGCACGACCGAGAAGAGUGAGACAGUGACAGAGACUGCUAUACUUCACUGUUUGAGUGUUUACUUUGUUGGAACGGAUAAGGCCUAAAGGACAAGCACGCUGGUGGCCAGAUUUAUUUUAGUUAAUAAUAUUAAUAUACUCCGUAUGUAUAGUUUCACUAAUAUAGUACGCAAAAAUAAUUAAGCUGUGAAAACGAUCUAGUUAAACAAUGGUGUCAUUUGGACUUUAGCAAACAAAAUAUCGUGACACGGAAUGUUGUCAAUAUUUGAUUUCAGGCUCUACAGCGACGAGACCAGGAGCAACCACCGUUAGAUCGAUCGGAUGAGGCCGAGGAUGAUGAAGGGCCCGGCGUCUCUGUCAGGCCAUCAUGUUUGCUGGUCCUUGUGGUUAUCUAAAACGCAUGCAUGCUCUAUUAUUAUAGUACUUCUGCAGUUCUGCUGUCGCUGUUGCUGAUAAAGACUUUGCCGUUUAAUUGUCCUUUAUUAUGUGUUAUUAUGGAGUGAUGAGUGAUAUGCAGUCGCUCCUAGUAGUGAGUAGUGAGUAGUGAGUAUUUACUUGGUAUAGUACUUGGUCUGGUCAGUUCCUCUGACUCGGCUUGGCCAUUCAAGGGGAGCCCUGUUGUUGCUGCUGUUGUGUGUGUGGUGUGUACUGGCUGUUCUCCAUCAUCUUGUAAAUAUUUUGCUUUGGCCAGGGCGUGUACUAGUAACUGUGCCUGUUUCUUCCAUUUUAAUUUACAAGUCUUGAUGUGUAAUAAUCACCGGCGCAGCGGCGCUGAGGACAUGUAUUACAACAAAAUUACUCUGCAUGGACCCAGACAAGGAUUUGUUCUCUCGCUGGUUAAGCCUAAACAUACACACACCAUACAAACAGACAGUGGUAUUGUAUCGAUCUAUGUAGGGCCUGUUUGGAACGCAAGAAUGAAAAAUACAUGAAUAGAAGAAAACACAGAUACGGAGAUUGAAAAACAGAGCAUUGAAAAAUACAAGAAUAAAUAAGAGGUGACGUCAGGAAUCCAAAACAUAGGAAUUGGUACAGGAACAAUAAAAGAAAAAUAGCACUUUCAUUAACUAAUAAAAAAUGAUCACAUGCGAUAUUUGAGCUCUACAACUCUCUUUCUGGUCUAGGGUCUAGGGUUCGUGGACGAAGUCUAUGAAGAAUUCACCGCUUUUUUAUCAUUUCUUUUAGUUUUUAUCCAGUUAUCCUCGUCUCAUUGCUCUCUAUGGGUGUGUUUGGUUUGUUUCCUAUAUGAGCCUGGCCAGUAAAACUAAGCCAGGCUACCUCAAGCCUGCCCUUAGUAAGCCAAGACCUGCUUGUUUGGUUGCAUGCGCUGCUGAGCCUGACUAGGAUGAAUUCGUGUUUGAUUGGUUGAUUUGGUUUGUAUACAGUUACCUCUUCCUUGGGCCGGUGAGUUUACCUCCUUUGAGACAUUUUCUCAAACACCUGGCAUACACACGCAUUGAUCUUCCUCCUCCCAUCAUGCCCAGCUGCAGCCGCAAAAGUUGUACUACGAAUCAGCAAACUACCAAGGAAGAGGGGACCGAGAUUGCAGUCAUCGCGGCGAGAAUGGCCUCACCUGCGCAGCGGAGAGCCUGGGCACCGGGUGGAGCCUGGUGGCCCACAUGACAGGUCCAUAUGAGGAAGAUGAGCAGGGAGCCGAACGUGAGCAGAAAGACGGUGAUGGUGUACGGCAGCGCGCGCGUGUGUCGAGAAGCCUCUGCGGCGGCGUCCUGCAUGGUGCAGCAACGCCCAUGCCAUGGGCGAGCGCGCGCGUGACGACCCAGGGCCAGGAGUGGUGCGCGCGAAUGGCCAAGGCCAAAGGAGGUCCGCGCUGCGGCCAAGUCCGGGUGCUCCCGCUCCCACGUCGUCGUCCUGUGGCGAGAAGAGAGGGAGCGUGGUCGGCGUCGUGGCGCUGAUCAUUGGGACCAGCAUCAGGUCCGGCAUCCUCACCGUGGGAGGAGCCCAUGGCGCUGGAGAAGUCGUGCCUCUGCCUCUGCGGGCGGUGAACGCGGAUCUAGACAGUCGUCGCUUCGAGGUCGACGACGGCAGCGCCACCGGGUCGAUGGCGCCGCACGUCGCCAGCUCCGACGACAGCCUCACCACCUCCUAGUCCCCCUCCCUGGCGUCUGCAGCCUCCUCACUGCCGCCGCCGCUGCCGCCGGAGACGGAGCCCGUUCCGGGCAGCUGGUCCGAUGCGGUCGGGUCCGCAUUGGCGGCCGACUUUGGCUUGCGGCUGCACGCCGAGCACAUGGACGACGUUAGCGCGACGGUGGCGGCCACACCACGAAGAAGGACAACGCGACGAAGAGCGGUGACGAGAACGGCCUGGCGGCUGGCUAGAGCCUGGCUCAGUUGGGAAGCCCGAUUUGGGCUUUCAAAGCUGGUCAGGCUAUCUCUGUAUGGUUGGUCCAAGUUGGCCAUGCCCCAAGCCUUCUUCAACCAAACACCCAUUUUCUAGCCCAAAUGAGCCCUGGCCACAUGUGGAUUGCAACCAAACACACUCAAUGUCUUGCAUCUCGCUCAUUUUUUGCUGGAUCAGUAUGAGAAAGGAUUGAAGCAACGCAAUGAGCGGAGUGAGAUGGUGGUUGCGUGCUUGCGAGCAGCCAUCAAGCUCAGCCGUCGAUUCAGAGACCUCCGUUGACAGUCAAUGGAGGAAAGCGAGAUGGGGGCGGGCUAUUCAUGGCGACGUACACCGGUGAUGACGAGACAAAAAUAUAGAUUUUCUGGUUCUAUCUCCUCCCUAAUCGGAUUUUAAUCGCCCAAUAUUUUCUCGUCUACCUCUUUGCCUCGGGCUUCCACCAAACCUUGAGCUCGAACUGUAUUUUUUAUUUCCUACGUUUUAUGGAGACGAAGAAUCCUUUCCAGAGGAAAGGCUAAGAGUGUUCUUUUUGUUCCAAACGGUGACUGACGUAAGCAAACCAUAGGAAUCAGUUUCCUUUCAAAUUCAUGUGAUCCAAACAGGGCCGUAAUAUGUGCGGCAGCAGGGGAAUGCGAGAUUUAUCAGAUCACAACAUAAUGCACCGUGAUGGGUAACGGAGCCCAAGUUUGGCUCUGCCGCUAGUAAUAAUUAUCCGUUGUUUAGUUCCAAAAAAUUUUAGAAAAUAGAAACUGUAGCACUUUCGUUUGUAUUUGACAAAUAUUGUCCAAUCAUAGACUAACUAGACUUAAAAGAUUCGUCUCGUCAAUUUCGACCAAACUAUGCAAUUAGUUUUUAUUUUUGUCUAUGUUUAAUACUUUAUGCAUACGUCUAAAGGUUCGAUGUGACGGAGAAUUUGAAAAAUUUUGCAAUUUUUUUUGAAACUAAACAAAGCCCUAACUAAUCACUGAAAAAUGAUUGCCACGUCGUCGUCACUCGUCAGGUUGCCGUGUUGGGCUUGCUGACCGUGACUUUGCCAUUUGUAAUCGCACUCGGGCACCCGUGAAGAUUCGAUCGGAUCGGCAAGCUUGUUCAUUUUCUGUCGAAUCUACAAGCUAUUUAACAGUAUUUUUUUUAAUUAUUUAAUAAUAUUUUUCUCUCACAAUAAAUCAGCAAAUAGUAUUUUCAAUCAUAAUUUAUUAACCAAGCAAAUAGACAUGCUAUCUGAUCAUAUCUCGUUAGGGGAGUCGGCUAGCCAGUGGAUACUUUCAUGAAUACUUGUGGGGUAGUUUUUCAAUUAUUACCCGUGGGGUAGUGCCAUUAAGCUUUCCAUAGUGGUGAGUCGAUUUUUUAUGAAGAGAGAUCAUGUAAGCUGCAGUAGUGAGUCGAUUUCAAAGAUCUACAAUGGUGAGUCGACUUUUUCUGUGGGCUAAGCAAAUAAAAGAUUAUUUUGUUCUCUUGAAUAAGACACUUGCACAAGCGAACUGGUACUUCCUAUCCGGUAAAGUUUUCUUUGCCCUCGAAGACAUAUGCCCUCACUUUUCUACCUAUUGGAUUCGCUUUGAGAAGUGUGCAAACACACAUCUCAACACGAAACUGUUUUGAGAUAUGUAUUUGCACAUUUCUCAAAGCGAAUCCAAUAGGUGGGAGAGUGAGGGCAUAUGACUUUAAGAGUAAAAAAACUGUGUCUCCUAUCCAUUCUCUUCUCAUCUUCUUUCGUAUGAGUAUUAUUUUAAUCGGUAUGAAUUGAUUCAUAUUUUCUGAUCGGUUCCUAACAUACUCUAUGCAUCGAUUUGCUAAAGGGGUCGCUCCAUUACUCGUGCCAAUUAAAAUAUUCUCAUGAGUCACUUUAAAAGCACCACUGGAAAAGCCCUUAGUACUAGUCAAUUGACUAUUGCUUAUCGUGCCAUUUGUUUCGAGGACCUUCUUUGCAUGUUACAUAAUGCGGAGGUAAAAAUGGAUUUUAACAAUGCCUAGAAUGCUAAGGUGAAAAUAGAUUUUAAGGGAACUCAUCAUAUUGUGCAUCUAGGUGAAACUAAGGUCUUGUUUAGCCAAACACUUCUAGAUAGCUUCAAGCGAAAAGAAGUUGUCCAAGGGUGCCAAACACAAUGAUUCUUCGAAGACUUAUUUUGCCCGUGAUUGUUUUCCUCGCAUCGUUUCAACAUCAACGCAUAAUCGCCUUGAGCCCUGUGUGUUGCUUCCACUUGCUAAAGCCCCACGUCCGCAUCCCCUUGCUCGACACUGCUUCUGGAUGCUUGGCCCUGCCUCCGUCUCCCUCUCCCCUCCCUACCACUAGAGCCAAAGCAGCCGAGCUCGACAAUGGUUGGUGCCUAGGUGAUGCCCGUGAGAUGGGAGCAGCGGUGGCUAUGGAUCUACCUCAUCCUUUGACAAUGAUGGGGCAAGUGAUGACCACGAGACAGGGCAGCAACGGAUCUCGUGAGAAGGCACUACGAUGGCGACGACAUAUGGGCAUGGACGACAUCUUCCUCGCCAAGCUCCUCCUCUUCCUUGGCAUCCUCGUCGGGGCUUGAACAUUUGUGUUCUUCCUCCCCUAGAAUAUGUCAUACCAAGCGCUAAGCUUUUUCUUCGCAUGAUUCUUGACUACUCGCAAUGUGUCCGGUGCUGAAAAAUUAAUGCUUAUGCCAACUAAAUCAAUGCUAAGAAAAUGCCUAAAAACACGACAACAUUGUGCGUCGACGUGCAUGCACCAGAUAGACUUGUGUCAGAUCCACUAUCUUGGUUUUUGGUGCAUGAGAAAGCAUCUAGUACAUGAGCAUCGAAGCAAGAACAUGCCUCGGUGUCACCUUUUUUUUUUAACUCAACAUCGACCACAAUGGUAUGACUCAAUGCUGAAAUAGGAGAAAGAGAGUUUCAAUAUCGAUUUUUUGCAACGCUGUGGAUAGUCUUAUAGAAGUUUGUUGUUCAAGUUGUCCAGCUUGGGGUUUAAGGGAGGGCUAGAAAAGUUGUUCCAAACAGGGGCUACGAUAUAUGAGAUUUGGAAUAGCGUUUUAAGUGAAAAUGGAUAAAAGUUGAUAUUAUCAAGUAUGUGGCUUCAUGUGAUAUUUGUCAGAAAGUGACGGUUAAGCAUCAGAAACCUGCUAGGUUUCCAAAAUCAUUGAAGAUUCUUAAGUGCAAAUGGAGUAAAGAAUAAUAUAAAGAAUCGUGUGAUUGGAUGUCCUCGCUCUCCGGAAGGAUGCUAUCGAAUAUUAUCCGACCUACAGUGGUGAAGCUGCGCCCGGUAACAGGUAACUUAAGUUGAAGAAAGAAAAGAACGGAUGAUAAAAGGUCUAGAGCGGUAUUGGAUCUAACAACUUAGGUUAUAUUUGGUUGAGCUUCUAAAAUUGCUUCUACUUUUUUAGAAGCAGCUAAUUUCGUGUAAUACAGUUUUAGAAACACUUUGGAUCCUGCUUAUGGCUUUCUGUUUUUCAAAACGUAUAAAAAUAGAAAGCCGUUUCACAAUUAUUUGAAGAAAAACAGAGAGAAUAUGUUAUAUACUUAUUUUAGCCAAAUAAUUUACACCCACAAACUAACUAUAGCUCAUAAUAACUUUUUUUCAUAGCCCGUAACAGAUUUUCCACGAAUCAUAAAUCAAUGAGUGUGUUUACUGUUUAGUUUUCCAUAAAAUACAAGAUACAAAAUAUUAAGUAAUACUUUGGAUGAUAAAAUAUAAAAUGUCAUAUAAAAUGGAUGGAUCAAAAUCCAGAUUUUUUUAGACGAAAGAGGAACUAUAAACAACUUCUAAACCCCUGAUCAACGUACAACACCCCACAUCUCAGCUCUCACUCUGCCCAGUCAACGGCAGUUCAGUUUUCCUUCACUCCGUCCCGCGGCAUGCUUCUCCUCAGCCCCUCGCCGCCGGCUCCCGCCGCCGCGGUAACCGCCCCCCGUCGUAUCCUACUUGCUCCCCACAGGCGCCUCAAUGCUACGUCCACCCCACCGCGCCUCGCCUGCCUCCGCCUUCGCCCCGCCACCCCGCUCCGCGCCCGCGGCAUUCCGUCGAGGACCGGGUGCCGCGCGGCCGCCGAUGCCGAUGCAGCGCCCUCCCAGGCUCCAGGCGGCGAUGGAGGCGUGCGGGGCGCGGUGGUGCGCGUCGGGGAGGCUCUGUCGCUGGGGUUCCCGGUGUGGGUGGCGUCGGCCUGCGCGCUGGCUCUCUGGCGGCCGCCGGCCUUCCUCUGGGUCGGACCCACCGCGCAGAUGCUCGGCCUCUCCUUCACAAUGCUCGGUCGGCGCCUUCCUUCCCUUCCGUAGUUCCGUUCCCACGCUAGUUGCUAGUACUUGUUCUUCCCCUCAUGGUGCAAAUUUUUUUGGGAACUAAACAAGGCCCAAGUGGACUCAAAACUCUACUUCCCCUGUGGGGUUAUUAGCUCUGUUGAUGUCCUCUAUAAGUCUAUAUGAUAUUAGAACAGCUGCUAGCAAUGAGAUCACUGAAUAAAUGCACAAGCUGAUACCAAGGAAAGAUAUCCCAAAAUGAUAAAGGACAGGCAAGUGAUUAGGAGAAAAGAAGAUGAAGAUUUGAAAAAAGAACCGUACAAUUUCAGUACUCUAGCACAAUCCGGCAUCUUUUGCAUAUUCUCACAAUCUCACUUUGAUACGAGUUUUUGGCUUUUUCUACGUAAGAUGUUCUCUUUACUGUGCCAUUAUGGUGGAGGCAGCAGGACCAAAUUCUCGAGCACUCUUCAGUUCAUGGAUUAAACCAAAUUGCCGUAGCUACGAUUAAUAUAACCUUGUACUCACGUCUGGUGUCACUUUACAUGUGCAACCUGAGGAGUGUUUACUUUCUUGUGUCUGGACCUGGACGUGUUAUUCAGCCCUGGUUUCAUUUGGGAACCAUUGUAUUUAUAGUGGGGUAAUUGGUAUAUGAUUUAUACCUACAGGGAUGGGAAUGACAUUGACUUUGGAUGACCUCAAAACCGCAUUAUUGAUGCCGAGGGAGUUAGCUGCUGGAUUUAUACUGCAAUACACGGUCAGUUCCUCCCUUUUUGGUUCUUCAUAUGUCUGAAUCCUUGUAAUCAUAUUCUGUGAGUUCAAAAUACACAUACAUUUACACUAUUGAUGCAUAACGUUAGUGUAUUUGGUAGUUAGGAUUAGAGUUUUCCUUGUCACAGACUCCAUUAAGAUUUAAGAGGAGGUCCACAUGACUACAUGAGUUGGUGACUUGGUAUAGUGAAGAUGGAAUCCUGAUCAUUGAGGCUAGCAGAUUAGAAAAGAGGGAAUCAAAUGAAGUUGUCAGAUAGUACAGUCAUGCUACGUUUGAUGAUUUAAGGAAGCAAGAAAGCAAUAAAUCUACCCCCCCCCCCCCAACCCACACACUCUAGAGUUUGUACGCUUAUUGUCACGGCCCUUCACUAGUGGCCUAUUUGGAUUGAGCCACCAGGUGAUCCAUCGAACCAUCCAAUCCUAAAUCUGAGCCUAGUAACUUGUUUGGUUUGCAUCCAUGGUUCCUUAUGUCCAUGGACCUGUCCAUUUUAAGCCAACCGGCGAGCCUUUUGUGGGGAUCAACUCAUCCAAAGAAAAACGUCCGAAGAUGUCCUGCAUUGUUGGGUUCCGUGCCAGUCAAUCCAACAAACCAAACACGCUGUAGAGUUUAUCACAUUACCUACCAUGUCGAGGUUCCACGCCUGCCGGUUCAACAAACCUACUCUCUUGGUAGCAAAGGCAUAUCACACCACAACAUCUGGUAUAAGAAACAUGGUUGUUUUCAUUGUUCCCAAUACCGGUUACUGUUAAUAUACAGACAUAUAUUUUCUGUUUUCUCUCUUUCUGGCCCAUGUAGGCCUUAUGGCCCUUUGUAUAUACUUGCAACCCUAGACUCAAUCGAUGGUGUGUGAGGUUAUUCUUCCCUAACAGGAUUCUUUCUAAAAAAAAUUCUUCCCUAACAGGAACAAUUCGCAAAACCUGAAAUAAGUUCCAGUGAAUUGCAUAACAGAGACCAAAAAAGGAAAAAAAAAACUUUCCUUGUAGCAUGAACUAUGCAGAAGUUUCAACAAGUUGGGGCCUGACCCUAGGUUCCACAUAUCACAUCAUGAUUGAGUCAUAAGUGCAUCCUGAAAAAUACUUUUAGGUAGGUAUUUAAACACUAAAAAUAUCAUGAUUACCGUUGUUGUAAGUGGAUGAAAAGCCAUAUAAAUAUUAAACCAUACUGCUUACAUCUUCGUUAUCUAUGAGACUAUUACUACAACUGCAGAGUCGUCCCUUGUAAAAUUUGGCGCAUCUUCUGUUUAUAAGCAUAUUUAAUCGGUGAUGACAUGGAUAUGUAUUUUAUGUUUUUCCCCUCCAUGUGCAAGAAAAAAUCCAGAGUGAGUGAUUUAUGUACAGGUGAUGCCACUGUCAGGAUUUUUUGUGAGCAAGCUGUUGAAAUUGCCAUCCCAUUAUGCUGCUGGACUAAUUUUAGUGGCCUGUUGCCCUGGAGGUGUGUAUGCACUUCCCUUCCUUUUUAUCUAUAGAUUGGCUACUGGCACUUGAACUGAGAAGGAAAAUGUAUCUGCAGGCACAGCGAGCAACAUUGUGACCUAUUUAGCAAGGUAAUGAAAAAAUAAAGUGUCAUGCCAAGAAUAAAUGCCAUCACAAGCCUUGUUAAAACUUAAAACUAUAAUAAUCUGGAAAUGUUGGCAGAAUGAUAUAUUUUAAGUGAUUAACGAAUGUCAAGGUGAUGAAUAUCUUGAAUCUUCAGUGGAUAUAACUGACUAGUAAGGAAAAUUAACUUGAAAUAAGUUAGUGCAUUUGCAUUUAAUUCAAAGUCAAUGGAGGAAAAUAAACAAAAUUUCAGGAAUAGGGAAUUGUAUUGAAAAGUAAAGAGACUUAGAUAAACUAAUAUUCAAAUUGCAGGGCAAAUGUUGCUCUUUCAGUCCUGAUGACAGCAGUAAGCACUUUUGCUGCAGCGGUGAUGUUCUACUCUCACAUCUGUAAUCCUCAACUUAGCUGUUAUCUUUUGCUUUUUAUCCACAUCUUGCUCCCUGAUGCAGUUCAUGACCCCUCUCCUGACAUCCAAACUUGCUGGGCAAUAUGUUGCAGUAGAUCCAAUGGGACUGUUUGUGUCCACAUCUCAGGUGCUGCAAAUUUCUUUUUUUAUUUUCUGUCUUACAUCUAAUUUUUUUGACCCCUGGCUAAUGUUGUUUUUUUUUUUCAGGUUGUCCUCGCACCUGUCCUUUUGGGUGCUCUACUUAAUCAGUAUUGCAAUGGUCUGGUUCACUUAGUGUCCCCGUUGAUGCCCUUCAUUGCUGUAGCGACAGUAGCUGUUCUCUGUGGCAAUGCUAUUGCACAGAACGCUUCAGCAAUCCUAGCAUCUGGGUCGCAAGUGGUUUUAUCUGUUGGUUGCUUGCAUGCAUCUGGCUUUUUCUUCGGCUAUGUUCUUUCAAGAUUACUUGGCAUUGAUAUCUCUUCUGCAAGAACAAUCUCUAUUGAGGUUGGCAUGCAGGUAACUGAAGCAGGCAACUCUUAAUCACUUGGUGUUGGUGAACCAAGUGUCUCCUCAUUUUAGUUGUCAUGUUUCCAAAGACCUACGACACCGACCUCAGUUUAUGCCCUUCCAAUUGUACAAUCGGCUGCCUUAUUUAUAUCUGAACGAUUUUGAUAUUUUUUUUCAGAACUCAGUGCUGGGCCUUGUCCUUGCAACCAAGCAUUUCGGCAACCCUCUCACGGCUGUUCCAUGUGCUGUUUCGAGCAUCUGCCACUCGGUCUACGGUAGCAUUUUGGCUGGGAUCUGGAGGUCUAUGCCCACCAAGGACAAGGGAGAAUGAUGCGAUGAUCAUGUCAACCGUCUGAAUUCUCUGUUCUCUUGAUGUAUGAAGGAUUAUACCCGUGGGAGUAAGCCGUUGAUAGAAUGACGGGUGGUUACACUGUCAGUAGUAGCACUUUGUGUAUGAUCUAUUGCAGCAAAGAGUAAACACGUCAGGGUGGUGUGAGCUAUAAAACACUAGGCUGCUAGUGGUUCAUUUCUUUUCUGGAGAUCUCUUGACGAGGGUUUCGUUGGACUCGGAUAGUGUAGUUGGUGAAUACUGUACAUGAUUGCUAUGGAUAUAUAUACCAUGGCAGCUUGUUUAUCACACAUUGACUUCAACAGCUUGAUAUAAUAAAACAGUAACGCUCAGGUAUAAUCAUCUCAAGGUUAAAUACGACUGACCUUUUGUCAUCAUACAAAGCAACGACAAAAAAAGUAAUUUCUGUUACAUAUCUUUUUUAAAUCAGAUUUCUGUUACAUAUAUAUCUGGGAAGUCGUUCGCAGCACGGAUUGGCUGCGGUCUGAAGAAUAUGAAGGGAUGAAUUCCAAAAGCUGAAACCGGUGAACUUGUGGAAGCAAAAGAACUUAACCACCCGAGGAGAACUCAGCCUUCACCCAACCGAGAAACUCCCCGAGUACUGGCAGUGCAGACCGAAUUUUGGGUUGACAGCGAGGUGAACUGUGGAAGCCAAUCUGACUCUUCUGAAACUACUGGUCGACAGACCUACACACAUUUAUCUCACACCUCACAAGCUAAUUAUACACCAACUGGUCUCCCCCCAAGGUUUUUGUUCCUUCUCAGUUGUAUACAAGAGCCCAAACCUGUCAUUUCAUCAAGGGAUCACGAUGACAAUAUGUACAAACAAAAUACUUCCAUUUGAACUAACUGGCCUUUAUCCAGCAUCUAGUUCGCCACUUUUAUGGCAUACACCAGCUCCUGAAAUGAAAGUAUAACAUUUAGAAGAAAUGUGAACGAGAUUAAUCAGAUAAUCAAAGUGUUUGAUCUCACCAGAACACCGUUAGGAAAUGUGAAUGAGGAGCGCAAGUCUGAAAGGCGUUGCUCCCCUGCUAGCCUUGCUUUGUCGAGACCAGACGGGUUAGUGCUGACAGGAUUGCUGUAAGAAGGCUUCAGCGCAUACAUCUCAACUUCUUCAUCUUUGUGAGAUGUCUGACUGGCAACAAACUACACAAAGACAUCAAUCUGUAAGUUCUGAUUUCUGAUAGUAGACAAUGCACAAGUGUUUCAAUAAGUACUGACCUGACAAAGUUGUUUGAUGGAGAGAGUUGGGCCGCAACACAGAUAUGACUUCUCCAGAUUUGGUGCCGUUUGUCCAUCAAGUGGAAGCAGACAAAGAUGUACAUCACGCUGUCAAAUAAAGUCAGUCACUAAUGCAAUGCAGUGCAACACUGUAAUGAAUAAGGAAACAUAUCAUGAGCAUUUUUGUGUUCACCUCGCCGUCAUUGUCGUCAGAAUUUCGUAAGCACUCAACCAACUUGAUCAUGCGCCCACCCUUGACCAUCCUACCAUUUGAACCACUGAAGCUACUGUGGCGAGUCUGACUGCGAGUGCCAUUCUUUCCCCAUGCUCGUAGAGGAGAUGUGCUAAAAUUUUCCUUGGAUAUUCCUACAUCAUCCUUUUCAUCAGAAGCAACCUCGUCAUUGCAUGCUCCUCGGGCAGGUGAAGAACGUGGCGUUGGCCAUUUUGGCAGUCGUUUCGGCUUUUUCUCUGGGGAACUCUCCUCAGCAGAUGAGGCCUCUUUGCUACAGUUUUCACCGUUUCCAUCCUCUUCAUCUUCAGAACCGGCCAGAGCAACAUCAUCAGAAUUGGCUCUUCCUCGGCCACGGAAAUAGGUAUUCUGCCCAUUAGGCCGAAUGUUACGGCGUGAUCUUCUUACAAAUGCAGCAGCAGUAGCUUUGGCAGUAGACUUCCGCCCAAUAACUUCUGAUUGUUUCCGAAAAGCCUCAGCAAUGGAUGCUUGAAUCUUCACAUGUACAUUAAUCAGGAAAAUGAACUUGAGUUCGAUGUAAAAAUAAAUACAGAGAGAAACAAAAUGGCAGAUUGCAAACAAAUAUGUCAAUCAUUAGUUCGGGUCUUUAUAGGUGUUAAACUUGAAUACAAGGGCAUUUACAUAUGCACGGACAUCAAAACAAUGUUCUUGGGUUCUUGAAGAGAAAGGCUUCUAAAUAUUCAUCUGCACUUUGUAGCCAGUGUAGGAAGUUGGCAGUUUCAUGACUCCACUAUUCAUGUAGUUAACAUAAGUUUCCACUCAUUGGAACAAAGAGCAGGCUUCACAGUUUACAGUUCCAAAUAAGAUAAUGAAGUUCUGCCACUAACAAAGUUAACAUGAAAAAAAUUGUCUAUUUCAUUUUUAUUCCUUUAUGAAGUUCUCUUUAUUUUCGAAGAAAUUUAUGAAGUUCUCUGUCAUUAACUUAUUCUUAUCCUUCUGCAAGAAGUGUAGUUGGACCAAACAACCAGCUCAAUGCUACGAUAUCAACUUAGUCCAAGUGAUUCCAGGGCACCUGUCUAUGCUUGGACACAUUAAAACAUUUUCUUUUGAAAGGAGCAAAAAAGGGGUAACAGAGUUGACCAAAUUUGAUUCUUUAUAAAUGAAAUUUAGCUGGGAUUUUUCGACUACCCAUCCAGAAAAUGCUAAUGUAGGGAUGAUCCACAUGGGACAAAAUUCUACGAGAAGUAGCAGGGAAUCAUACCACACCAUUUUUGUAACACGCAGGUUUAGAGACCUAAGUCAUAACUGAUGGGGGAAUAUUUGAUGCGAAACAUCACAACAGAUUCACAUGAAAGUGGAUAUAAAACUGGUAUCAGCAAAACAGAAAUAGAAAAGAACCUGCUUAUUGCGGUCAUUCUCCUCUUCGUUGAACGCUAGCUCCUGGACAUGGGACAAUGCAUAAACAUUUACUAGGAUCAAUGUCUUAAUAUGAAUAAACAAAUAUCAAGUACAAUACCUCUUCUUCAUAUUUGUCAAUAUCUGGGUAUAGAGCUGCAAUCAAGGCAUCAUAGUUCGGAUCAUCUCUCAAAGAACGCCGACUGGCACAAUGUGUGCGGCAUGCUGGGCACUCAUUGUUCCUAUAUAGCAAAGGGAUAUGUAAGUAACAAUACUGUGCUACUCAACAUGGGCUGACAUAAUGUCUGAUGUACAUGCAAAGAAACAUGCAGGGAUGCAUGUCACAAUAUAGAACAAAAGAAGAGAACUGUAAGUCUUGACUCAGAAGCCAAAACAACACAACAGCAAUGCCAUAUAAUAGUCAUAUAUUACCCAAGUCGCAUGGAUUUGUCAAUGCAUUCUCUACAGAACCGGUGCAGGCAUUCCAUAACUGUUCUAGUCUUCCGGAUGAUGCCUAGCAGCAUAAGAUGGUUCCACAAUCAGUAAAUUAAAGUUGACAUUCAGUUAUGCAACAUGUUUACAGAGUUUGUGUAUGACACCAAGAGUGAAAUUGACAAGGAGUUAUAUCUGCAAGCAACAUCUUUCUGUUAAAAAUUUGGCUAAAAAAAGCUACAAAAUUAAAAAUGGAAAACCAAAAGCUUCAUUGAAACCAUUAUUUACUGCCAGAAUGAAGUUAGUUUUAGUUAAGCAUGACUAAAAUAUGUACCAGCCAUUGGCUCUAGCUCCUAAUAAAUGGCAUGUCCAAGAAAAUUCUUAUCUUUGUGGCAAGGGUUCUCUCCAACUGAAGUAUAGGUGGGUUUCAAAAUACUGAAAUGUCACAUUGUGUGUUUGCAAUGUGUAUAUGAAUAAUCUAGCCAUAUAGAAAUGGCAUUUGUGUAGGUACCUAAGCAUAUGGGACACUGCACUUCUUUGCGUACAUCCGGCAAUUUUACUGGUACAAACCUGCAAGUGUCAGUGCAAGUGUCAAAACUCUUUAAAAUGGGUGGGAAAAGCAAGAGAAAAUGAACAUCAUGUAACUAAAUUAUAAGAAUUAUAAAAACUUGAGGUGAAGCACUAGAUUACUCUAGUAUAGUAGUAUAGAUCAUAUAUGCUACAGAAGGUGGUGCUAAAGGUGUAAUUUGAGAAAUAGUCAGAGCUUACAAAGGAGCUGUAUGUUCAGGACUAAAAAAAUCGACCUACAAGGGGUAAGACAGCCCACAGGCAUUGCAUUAAGGAGACCUUCUCACCUAUAUCAAGAAAACCCGCCCACCCAUACAUAAUGGCAUUGUAGCCCAUGUGAGAACAACCAUGACCAGGCCAGAACUUAGACCUGUCCUUUGGCGUGGGACAGACGAGGGGACUUUUUUAACCCCAGCCUUAAUUUGCUCCCACAGGGAAUCGACCCCGGGACCUGAUGAGUGCUACUCAAGCCACCUAACCAACUCAGCUAGAGGCCCUUCCGCUGUAUGUUCAGGACUAACACACUGCAUGUGCUUUCAUUUCAGUUCAUGCAUGUAAAAAUGACUGAGGCAAACAAAUAGUUUAUCAACUUGCUAGAAAUUAUGGGAAGCUAAUAUCCUAGGCAAACACAUUGUAAAAUCUGCUGUCUAAAGUCCAGAGGCAAACAACAUUGCUCAAGCUCAGCCCCGAUUACAUGUCAAAAUCUAAAAGUUAACCUUGUUUUUAUUUUUCUUGGAAUGUUCCAUCUAAAUCCUAGGUAGGCAGCUUGCACUAUGAUGUUGCUGACAAGAAAAUUCAGGCCUAGGCCAUGUAACUUGGGACUAUCCUGGAUACAUAAUAACCAUCCAAAGCUAAGUUAAAGAUGACUGUUACAAACUAAUAAGCAAACUUGGCUUUCAUUCGCUUUUGUCCUCUGCAUUUGGUUGUGUGACAUCAAAAUAAGGCAAGAGCCAGACUCAUAUACCAUAACAGACAUGCAUGGAGCAAUACCCAUCACUAACAGAGAAACGAGAGUACAAAAUAAAAGGCUAAUGUUCACUUACCUCAUCACUGUCUUUUGUCAGAAUAAUUAACAUCUAAGUUGUAAAAGUUUAUUGAAAUAUCUUUUCACUAGGCAGAAAUAGCCAUGUGAUCUUAUACUCUUAUUACAAUCAAUCUGUGUACCAAAUCUAUAGGCAUAGCAGCAACUGUACAUCAGUAUGCAUAUCAGCAAUUAGACUAAAGCUGUAUGCAUUUAAAAACACUCUAGUUCAAAGCUUUAAUUAACUAGGGGUGGUGGGGUCUACCAGUAUGCCAAAAGCUUCACCUACCAAUUCUGAAUAGGCUUCCAAGCUCAUAAUGUAUGUUUCAAUUAAUAGCUGGAUGGAGCUUAGAUAUUGCAACUGGCAUCCUUAAUUAUUAAGCAUAAUUGUUAAGCAGUAAAUAAAGGAUGAUGCAGUCACAUUGAAAGCUACACUCCAUGUUCAGUUUCACUGUAGUGACGAAAAGGGCAUUAUGAUGUGUGAGCUGAAACUUGUUGCUGGAGAGAGGCAGGAUCAACAGGUUUUCUUAAAUAAGGAACAUGAUCAAUAUCUAACCACCAAUUAAGCACUUCAUUCUACUUGUAACUGCACGGAAAGAUCUGCAGUAUCAUCCCUAACCCACACUAGACUGUAGGAUUGAAAACUUGAGCACUCUUCACGACUGCCUCAAACUUCAUACCCCCUUUGGUAACCUGGCUCUAUUAAUAAUAAGAGGUAGGACUUAUGAAUCAGAUGAUGACUACAGCAAGCGCUUGCAUCUGCACAACUUGUGUUGCUUGGGUGUCAACGGAAUUCACAGAGAUACUGCUUCUCACAGGUAAAAAAAAUAGUGCAAACCAUGCUCUACAUCUAUGGCUCGUCGCCUCUCUUCCCGCAUACAGCCCCCAGAAAUCCGCAGCCAGCCAUGGUCAACUAGGAAAAGACCGACGGGCUCGGCUCAGGCACGAGAGCUGAUCAACGGGCCAACGACAGAGAGCGAACACGCGCGCGAGUGGGCGCUUAGCGGUGGCAAAUCUGGAGCACGCAUCAGGAAGGAAACCACGACGACGGGGAAAGGAGAGCGGCAACCGGCAAAGCAAGCAAACAACGGGGACGGUUGGCGAGCGUCCGAGCACGUACUCCUGCUUUGCGGCGUCCGCGUCCUCCGACUCAGACUCCUCCGAUUCCGCCGCCGCCGCCGCCGCCUUCGCGCCGGAAUCUGCGAGCAAAGGCAAACAACGUGGGCGGGAGAGGAAAUAAACCAGCAUCAGCGCGUGGAGAUCGAGGAGAAGAGCGCCGUCGACCCACGUGGGAGGGGCGGCGGCAGGGCGAACGAACGAACGAGCGGCUCACCGUUAGCGUUGCCGUUGGCUUCGGCGCCGCCGCCGGCGCUGCCGUUCUCCUCCAGCUUGGGCUUCUUCUCCGCGGGCUCGGCCGUCGGCGGCGGCGGAGACGCGGGAGGGGGCGAGCCGGCGGCGGAGGGGGGCGGCGAGGGUGGCGGGGGCGGGCGCUUCUGGGCGGGCAUUUGGGCUGCGGCGGCGGAGCAGGCUGCGUCGAGCGGGUCGCGUGGAGAGGCGGCGAGGUGGGGCGGGCGGGGGCGCGGCGCGGGGCGGGGCGGGCGUUGCUAGGCUGGGGCGGGGCGGGGCUGGCACGGGGAUCUCUCCGUCUGCGGGGCUGGCUUUUCUACGGCUCCUGGCUUCGGAGCGGGUGCAGAUGUGGGUGCAGCCGGUUUGGGUUGGUGCCGAGUUCGUGUCGCGCUCGCGCCCGGUCGGUGGUGCUCGUAUGGCUUGCUCCGUCUAAAAAACAUUUUUUUACUUUGCUCGUUUUAUUUAAAACUUUUAUAUAAAUUAUAAAAUAAAAAAUCAUUACUAAUAUAUCUUUAAUGAUUAAAUAAGUUAUAUUAAAAUAGAUAAUAUUUAUAUAAAAAGUUUAUAAUCUAUACCUAUCUAUAAAGAGCCAAAAUUUCAGUUUGUCAAAUACUUUCUUCUGCCCCCGUGUUCGGUUUAGGAUCGCCUUCUCCCUCCAAAGUUUCUAGAAGGGCAAAAACAAAAUAAAAAACAUUCUAGAGUUCCUAAUGCAAAAUCUCAUAUUACUCCGUUACGAUGGAAGAGAAAAAAAAUAAAAAAUUUUCUAGAGUUCCCAAUAUAAAAUCUCCAAUUUACUUUUCUUUUAUUUUUUAAAUCGGUUGAAAAAUAAUAAAUAUAUAGUAAUUCAUAGAAAAAUCUAAAAAAUAUAAAACAAAUUUUGUUCAGCUCCACAUAUGUAGAUCCAUGCAGUAAACAAAAAAUAUCAUAAAUUUUAGUACACUUUUUUUUGGAAAUGCUUGUCUAUGCUUUUUACUGUAAAAUUAAAAUUGUAGUUAUCUUGCUCCAAUUAUUAUAAAAAUUUAAUGAUAGCCUAUUUAAUGUGAUGCUUGAUUCAUAUUUCAUAGCAAUCCUAAUCUAAAUUAAAAAAAUAAUGUUAGCAUCAAACUUCUCAUGUUUUAAUAUAAUACUGAGGCAUAUUAAGAGGUAAUAUUAGAGUGAGAUAAGAUUUAACUAUUUUCUAUUUUUAUUAUUAAAUAAAUAUGUCUUUAAGCUAUAUAUUAUUGUAAAUAUUAAUUAUCUAAUACCAUAGAUGUUAUGGCGACUUUAAAUUUUAUAAAAAGGAUAAAUAUAAAUAGAUAUGUAACAUUAUGUCAUCACUUUUUAGAGUUAGUCAAAUAAGAGGUUUGAAAGUAAACCGUAACUGUCUUUUUGAGACGGGAGUACGCGCUUCGGCCUUCGGGGUUGCGGGUGCCCGCUGCCCGAGCCCGAACAAGGCGGCGCUCUUGUUUGCCGUGCCGCGCAGGGCUGCCGGCCGAGCUCGGCGGCCGGGAUGUCAACGAGCUCCAGACCGUCGAUUUGGUCAGCGAGACUGUUCGCUCUUCCAGGUCCGAGUCCCGACGGCCACAAGUAAAUGCGUGAUCUUUGGAAGUUAUAUCAAAGAAAGUACGCACGGCUAGUUGUUUUUUUAAAACCAAACUUGGUAUAAAGAAUUUUUCCAUGAUUAUUAGGCCAUUUACAAUGGUGUUAGCUAUGUACUUUCUCCAUCUAUUUAUCGGAAUCAUUUUAUCGAAAAAAAAUUCUCUAAGAAUUGGAGUCAUCUAGAAACCACUAUUUUCACCUUUUCUCGAGCAUAUACGGUUUCUCUCACUAGUCUAAUUAAUUCAAUUGUUUGCAUGCAGCACCUUUCACUGGCCGAAUUAAUUUCUCCUCAGCCACUUCGCAUGACUCUAAAUGACUCCGACAAAUGGAUGAAGGGAGUACAAGUUUAUAUAGAGGUGAGAGAUAAAAGCAAAAAGUUAUUUUAUAUAAUCUUAUUUUUAUAUGUACAAUUGGACUCGUAUAUCAUUCUCUUAGAUUCUUAGACUACAUGGAAUAGAUAGGUUAUUUACUCGUCGCUAAUGAUUAUUCUCUUUUCUACAUUUUUAUGUUCAUGUCAGAAUAACUAGCUAAAUAGUCAACUGUUGAAAAUUUUUAGAUUCAUUUAUGAGAAGAGAAACCUUGUUAGAUCCAUGUUAAAAUUAAAAUUAAUAAUCUCCGUGGGCGGCUACAUCGUGAUGAUCAAACGAGAAUCAUCAUCGUACUCCAAAGUCUAAACUGAAGAGAACACCUUCACCAUUGUUCGAGGAGAUUUACAUUUUUAUCAUUAUUAAUAAUAUAGUUCAUUCUAAUAUCAUUCUUAGAAUUGUCCUUACAUAUAUACUAUUGGAGAAAGAAGAAGGGCAUGUUUGGUUGUUAACCAUAGUCUACUACAAGAUCUACAACUAACUUUAGGCAAGUAUGACAAGCCACAAAAGUAUGGCUAGUAAAUUGGUUAUCAUAUUUUACCAUGCCUAAAGUAAUAUAUUCACACUUUUUAACUUUAUGAUAUGUAGAGCCAAAAAGAAUCAUAUCUAAACUUAGUUGUCAACCAAACACCUCUCAUCUUGGUAAAACUUGUCUAAGGUAAAGUGUGGUAAACUGUACUCCGUAGUUAGCAACCAAACAACCUCCAAAAUCUUACAAGUUUACCAAAAACAGACCUUUUUGUUUAUGCGGCGUGCCAAAUCAGGGUGCGAGCAUAGAUACGCACGGUGAAAAGGUUGCCCGUGCCCUACUCCCCUCUCCCCUACAGUUGGGCACCACAUGUGGUGUCACUACCACGUGGGACCCACUCGUCAAAAUCGUCUUCCACCUUCAGCAUCUAGAUGUGAAAUGGGGUGGCAUCGAGAUGUGGAGCUCAUGGGCAUAGCUAGGCACGGCCUCGGUGGGCGCAGGCGUGGCCAUGGACACGCGUGGCCCCAACGAGCACACGAACCUAACCAUGGCGGGGUGCGUUGUCCAGCUGGUGCAGGGACGUAGAGCAAUGUUGCAGCGCUCCAGCAGCAUGGGCGCCUCAACGAUGCACGGGAGGUUCGCUAUGGUCGCAUCGAACACCGCGAGUACCGAGCGAUGGUGGAUGUGGACAAGCUCGACGCUGAAGAUGGCCACGUGCAUGAGCUAGAGCACGAACUUGCCGCCCACCUUGAGCCCCGCUGUGACCGGCUAUGACACAAUAUGGAAAGCGAUGACCGCAACAGCCCUCCAUCUUAUGUAUGGGUAGUUAGGUACCACACCUGAUUGACCACUGCCCCUAGUAGAGUUUGAGGAGCGAUGAGAACGGGAGGUACUUCGCGAGCUUCACAUCUUGCGCGCCAAUCCAUGGGUGUAGUGGUGUCUUCAUGCUUGAUAGAAGCGCCCUCAUCUAGGUGCUAAAGGUGGAAGACGAAUCUGACGAGUGGGUUCUACAUAGCAGCGACACUAAAUGUGGAACACAACUGUAGGAGAGAGAGAAGAGAAGAGUAGAGAAGGGGCAUCUUUGUCUUUUUACCGUGUGUCUCCAUGCUAGCAUCCUGAUCUGGCACGCUACACAAGUAAAAAGAUUUAUUUUUGGUAAACUGGUAAGAUUUCUUCUCUCUCCAAUGGUAUAUAUGUAAGGACAAUUCUAAGAGCGAUAUUCACAUGAAUAUUGUCUUGUUUAUUUGGCUGAUAAGUCGUGAUAGAAAAUAUUAUUGAUUAAUUUAUUGUGUGAGAAAAAUAUUAUUGAAUGACAAGCUGAUUAUUCGUCUGAUAAUCUCCUCUUUUUUUAUUAGGUUUUGACCGUUUGUUCUUUGUUGGAUCAACCAGAAAACUCUCCUCCCAAACCAAAAUUGCCGCCUUCGCUUCGGUGUCCUUCCACGGCAGGGACUCGCCGGACGGCCGGAGCACCACCCGCCUCCGUCCAUGUCCCUCAACCGCCUCAAGGAAACCCUCAACGCCUGCUCCUCUUCUUUCUCCCAACCACAGACCCAACCGCGCUCACCGCCGCACCACCCCGCUCUCCUUCCGCGGAGACCCCCAAAGACGUCCCUUUCGCAGCAGCUCCUCCGCCUCGAGGCCGCCGCCUCUUCCUCCUCCUCCUCCUCCUUUUCCUCCAGGCCCGUACAGCUCCCACCCGUCCCCAGGUCCCCGAUCCAGAAGCCGCGGGAGGUCGAUGAACCGCCGUCGUCAGAGGACGAGGACGAGAGAAAAAGUCGCCCCAUUAUCCGCCGCUGCCAGCCUCCGCCACCACCGGCCGCCCUCGAGUCCCGCGGGCCAUUCGAGCCACUUGUGCUCUCGCUGCCUGGAGAACACCCUGUCGUCCAGGUACCGUACUGCCCCUGCGUCUCCUCGGUGGCAGUAGAUUCGUUAGGGCUUGUCUCGCAAGAAUCACUUGCCCACGACUAGUUCAGUUUCAGUAUUACUAGUACAAAGGGAUUUAUGGCAACAGGAGUUUGAUCAUUACAAAGUAUUUAUGAAUAUAAACCUGAUAUAAUCACGUUUUUAGUGUAAACUUUUCAUAUGAAUAUUAUAAUCAUAUGAAUAUUAUAAUUAGACUAAUUAUUGGUCAAAGGCGACAAAGUUUGAAUUUUGAAAUACAUGCACACCUUGUAUUUUGGGAUGGAGUAAGUAGUGAUAAAUCCUACUUCUUGGGAGAUGAGGGAGAGCGAAAAAAUAUCGCAUAACAGUUUGCCAUAGCAUAUCUUGCUGUUCUUGAUGGCCUGCGGUUUGUCUCAGUUAAAUAGAAAUUGGUAAAUGAAGAUACAUUGCGAUAGAGAUAGGUCCAGGGGAAUUCAAGAACACAAUAGUUGAUGCCCUGCAGUUUAUCUCAGUUAAAUACAAGAAGCCAGUAGUUGAUGAUGAGCUAUUGACAUGCAUUUUACAUCAUAAGUUGACUUUUACAUGUUCCAUGGUUGAUGGGACGUGUAUUAUGUGGUUGAUGGACUGCUUUCCUUUCAUCAUCUGACCUUCAGGAUUUAUGUUGGACCAGAUCUCGAGGUCUCUUUGACAAUACUAUUUUUUACAACGAAGCUAAACUUGAUUAAUUCUCUGUAGUGAGUGACAACUUGUUUUUUCCUGGGAAAAUAGUUGCCCCUUAUUUAUUUAUAUGGUUUUGCUGUGUUGCUAUUGUUUCUUUCAUGGACUCAGUUAUUCUACUUUCUUUUUAAGGCUGAGACAUUGUUUUUGCUGAUAAGUUUUUUCCUAGAUUCAAGAAGCAUCGUGAAUAAUUGCAAUAUUGCAUGAUCCAUUUCUUUGGACUACACCAAAAGCACUAAAAAUUUUACUCAUGGGCAAAACUCAGACAUGGCCAAGGUUUUGGCAAAACAAGGGUGUUCAAUAGUGCUCAACCAAAAGUAUCAGCUACAAGCAUGAAAAGUAAAUGUGAUUUGCACAUGUGCACACCAUGCUUUUAUAGCAUAGAGCUAUGUUCUUACAUGAUUAUUGUUUGCAAAACAUUAUACUUGAUUUUGUUUCUUCAUUUUCUGUGGAUGGUUUUACCAUUUUACAUCUUUGUCCACUGUGGGAUUGUUUUAUGUUCAAAUUAACACCCCCCAAAAAAAGUCCAUCCUGUAUUAUUUGUAAUCAUCACACAGAAAUGCAUUUUUGCUUCUGUCUCUGCGCAAGCCCCUGAUCGUUGUAAUUAUUCAUCAGUUUAAUUUCUGUACUCUUUUUUUUUUGUCUGGUUGUAGGUGCCCCCAUCAAUAAAUUGUAGGCUACUUGCGCAUCAGAGGGACGGUGUGAGAUUCUUGUACAAUUUGUAUAGAAACAAUCAUGGCGGUAUUCUUGGAGAUGACAUGUGAGGCUUCAAAAUUUCAGAUGAUCAUUUUCUUUAAGGAGAUCGAUGAUCCUCAUUUCGUUCUUGAAAUAACCUUGGAUACCAAUCAAGAGUCUUCUUUUAGAUAAGCACUCAUUCAAUCAUAUUAAAUGUUGGUGAGGAUCCAAAUUAUUUUAGCAAAGCAAUUAGUUUUCUCAAUGUAGUUUGUUGUUCUUGGUGCAUAAUACUAAGUAAGCUCGCCUUAUUAAAGGUUAGCAUAUGCAUAUAUGUACACUGUUGAUAUAGUGACAAUGAACUCAUUCCUAUACGUAGAAGUUACUGGGCUCUUUGAAUCUUACUGCACUUCCUGUUCACCUUUUAACAUGAUUUCUCUUGUGAUUUAGGGGUUUGGGAAAGACCAUUCAAACUAUUGCUUUUCUAUCUUCUGUUAUUGGAAAAGGCAAUGGCCAUGAGCAAUCAACAAACAAAGGAAAGAAAAUUGGCCCUGUACUCAUCCUCUGCCCUACUUCGGUGAUUCGGAACUGGGAAAAUGAAUUUUCUGAGUGGGCAGAAUUCUCUGUUGCUGUCUAUCAUGGUCCAAAUCGUGAUUUGGUUCUUGGAAAAAUUGAAACUCAAGGACUGGAGGUACUCAUUACCAGUUUUGACACUUUCAGAAUUCAUGACAAGAUUUUAUGUGGUAUCUCGUGGGAACUUGUGGUUGUUGAUGAGGCACAUCGUCUCAAGAAUGAAAAAUCCAAGUUAUAUACAGCAUGCUUGGGGAUAACAACUCAAAAGCGGUUUGGUCUCACAGGGACCAUAAUGCAAAAUAAGAUUAUGGAAUUAUUUAAUCUAUUUGACUGGGUCGUGCCUGGCUGCUUAGGGGAUCGAGAACACUUUCGAGCCUAUUAUGAUGAGCCUCUAAAACAGGGUCAGAGGCUAAGUGCUCCUGAGAGAUUUGUUCAAGUUGCUGAUGCACGCAAGAAGCACCUUGUUUCCGUUCUUAGGAAAUUCUUAUUGAGAAGAACAAAAGAGGAGACAAUUGGACAUCUUAUGCUUGGGAAGGAGGAUAAUAUUGUUUUCUGCAAAAUGAGUGAUGUUCAAAAACGUGUUUAUAGAAGAAUGCUGCAACAACCUGACAUACAGAUCCUUAUUAAUAGGGAUGUACCCUGUAGCUGUGGAAGUCCUUUACCUCAGGUUGAAUGUUGCAAGAGAACUGAACCAGCUGGUGUUAUAUGGUCUUAUCUUCACAGAGACAACCCUGAUGAAGGCUGUUCUAUAUGCCCCUUCUGUCUUGUUCUUCCUUGCCUCGUCAAGCUUCAGCAGGUUUUUCCUAUCCUAUGUUAUUUGGAAUGACAGCAGCAUCAACAACAAAAACCUGUUCAUUAUUUUAGACUGUUUUUUUGAAAAAUCUGAUAUCUCUUCCUGUAUUGCAGAUUAGCAACCAUCUGGAGCUGAUAAAACCUAAUCCAAAGGAUGAGCCUGAAAAGCAGAAGAAAGAUGCUGAACUUGCAGCUGCUGUCUUCGGUGCAGAUAUUGACUUAGUUGGUGGUACCGCUAAAAGUGAAAACUUCAUGGGUCUCAGUGAUGCUGAACAUUGUGGAAAGAUGCGAGCACUAGAAAGGCUUCUGUCACUGUGGACUCAGCAGGGUGACAAGAUUCUUCUUUUCAGUUAUUCUGUCAGGUUGUUCAUUUAUGCACUAACAUUUAGCUCAUAAGCUGGCAAAGUUAUAUUGCCAUGAACUUUAAUCCCAUCAGUUCCAAUUUAUAUCGAUGUUUAGUCCCACUGUUUUACCAUUACCAGUUGCUCUAGUUAUUACUUUCAUGCCACACUUUAAUGUUGUUUACUUCUCAAAUUAGGACUGAAAAAGACAGAUUGCCAACUAUUCUAGUACAUGGGUCAUGUUCUAUCAUUCCAUAAGUACAUCUCUCUUUGACUUUUUUUUUACUAGGAAACAUAUUUCAGAAGAUCUUUUAGGUUUCAGCCACACUUGACCAUAAAAUGGUAGAAUACACAAAAAUAUAUCUGUCCACUGCUGUAAGUGGGUUUUCCAUUCUUUUGAUUAUUAUCGAUUUUGUAAUGGAAAAAUUGUUACUUCAUAUUCCUUAGUAGGCAUGCUUUCGUUAGAGCACAAAAUCUUAUUUAUUUAGGUUUUAUAUCUAUGCCAAAAACUGUCUCAAUUAGAGUUGUGGUUUAGAUUUAUGUAUGUCUGACUGUGAUUUUAGGGUGUGAUUGGAUGUAAAACUUUCUAACUUGUGGCCCCCAUAAUAUAUGUUACCUAACUAGUAGAUAUUAAAAAAGUUAGUUUUGGUCAAAAUAUGAGUUGCCCCAAUGAAUGGUGAAAAUUAAUUGUAAAUAGUGUUGUUGCUAUUACCUUCUAAAUACACACACUUUAGAUAUGCUGCUUGUUCUUACAUGCAGUAGGGAGGGAGGAGGGAGGGAGGGGGCUCAAUAGCAUCACUGCAUUUGGUUACUUGAUGAUUUUAUUUAGUUCUAUUUACAUACAGGAUGCUUGACAUACUAGAGAAGUUUCUCAUAAGGAAGGGUUAUUGCUUUUCACGCUUUGAUGGAACAACUCCCAUGAAUGCACGCCAAUCACUAGUGGAUGAGUUCAACAGAAGCCCUAGCAAACAGGUGAAUUUUGGCAGAUGUGGAUUUUUUGUACUUCUACCUAACAAUUUUUUUAAGGCCAUAGUUGAUUUAAGUGGUUAAAUUCUUUUAUGCAGGUUUUCCUUAUAUCUACUCGGGCAGGUAAUUUAGGUGUAAACCUUGUUAGUGCUAACCGUGUGGUGAUAUUUGAUCCAAGUUGGAAUCCUGCCCAAGACUUGCAAGCACAAGACAGAUCAUUUCGGUAUGGACAGAGACGGCAUGUCACAGUAUUUCGCCUACUUGGUGCUGGUUCACUUGAAGAGCUCAUUUAUUCACGACAGAUAUAUAAACAGCAGCUUUCCAACAUUGCAGUCUCUGGAAAAAUAGAGAGACGUUAUUUUGAAGGCGUGCAGGUAUUCUCUUAGCCAUAGAAGUAUCUUGAUAAGUGUUAGAAUUAGGGUUUCAUUAAUGGGCUUACCCUAAACCAGGGUGGCCAUAUAAUUAUGGAUACAUGGGCCUCAUGGGCCUAGCCUCAUGGGCCUCAUACACAUAUACUCUAACAUCCCCCCGCAGUCUGAACUACCGUCGCAGCGGAGUUUACAGACUGGACACGAAAGAAAAGAAGUACAACACACGAGCCCCCCCACAGACACAACUAGCCACUGGUGAUGUUGAGGCUGGUGCGGAACUCGGUGAAGGUCGAGGACGGGAGACCCUUGGUGAAGAUGUCGGCGAACUGGGAGGUGGUCGGGACGUGGAGGACCCGAACAUCGCCGACAGCGACCCGGUCCCGGACGAAGUGUAGAUCAAUCUCCACGUGCUUGGUCCUCUGGUGCUGCACAGGGUUGGUGGAGAGGUACACCGCACUGACGUUGUCGCAGUAGACCAGUGCGCUCCGGGAGAGAGGGCUGUGGAGCUCGGCGAGGAGCUGACGGAGCCAGGAAGCCUCGGCCACGCCGUUGGCGACAGCACGGUACUCCGCCUCGGCACUGGAGCGGGAGACGACCGGCUGGCGCUUGGACGACCAAGACACCAGGUUGCCGCCUAAGAAGACGGCGUAGCCAGAGGUGGAGCGGCGGGUGUCCGGGCACCCGGCCCAGUCGGCGUCGGUGUAGACGACGAGCUCGGUGGAGGGCGACCGUCGGUGAAGGAGAAGACCGAGGUCGACUGUGCCGCGGAGGUACCGUAGGAUCCGCUUGAGAGCGGUGAGGUGUGGCUCCCUGGGAUCAUGCAUAUGAAGGCAGAUCUGCUGAACUGCAUAGGUGAUAUCCGGCCGGGUGAAGGUGAGGUACUGAAGUGCCCCGGCAAGACUCCGAUAUGCAGUAGGAUCUGUCACUGGUAUACCCUCAGCCUCUGAGAUCUUGCCCUGUGUGUCAACUGGAGUGGAGCAGGGCUUGCAGUCAGUCAUCCCAGCUCUCUCCAGGAUAUCAAGAGUGUACUGCCGCUGGUGAAGGAGUAAUCCAGCAGGGUGAGGCUGAACAGUGACCCCGAGGAAGUGAUGUAGAGCACCCAGAUCCUUCAUGGCAAACUCCUGCUGAAGAGAGGCGAUGAUCCGCCGAAGGAGUGACUCAGUGGAGGCUGUGAGGACAAUGUCAUCAACAUAGAGCAGCAGAUAAGCAGUCUGAGUCCCAUGGUGAUAGAUGAACAGAGAGGUAUCUGACUUGGCCUCCACAAACCCCAGAGUCCGUAGAAAAGCAGCAAACCGAUGGUUCCACGCCCGGGGGGCCUGCUUGAGGCCGUAGAGAGACUUGUUGAGCCGACACACCAUGUCAGGACAAGCAGAGUCAACAAAUCCCGCCGGCUGACUGCAGUAGACUGUCUCAGUAAGAACGCCAUGCAGGAAGGCAUUCUUGACGUCCAGCUGAUGCACGGGCCAUCCGCGCGUGAGAGCCAGUGAGAGCACCGUGCGGACGGUGGCCGGCUUCACCACCGGGCUGAAGGUCUCGUCGUAGUCGACACCGGGCCGCUGAGUGAAGCCCCGGAGAACCCAGCGAGCCUUGUACCGCUCAAGGGUGCCGUCAGCCCGGCGCUUGUGGGUCCAAAUCCACUUGCCGGUGACGAUGUUGGAGCCCGGCGGUCGUGGCACCAGAUCCCAUGUCUGGUUGGCGAGGAGGGCCGCGUACUCCUCUUCCAUCGCGCGGCGCCAGUGAGGGUCCAGCAAGGCCUCGCGCACGGAAGAGGGUACCGGUGAGACCUGCGAGUCCCCGGGCAUCGCCGCAAGAGCCCGGGGCUGCAGGGUCCCAGCCGCGUGUCGCGUCACCAUCGGGUGAACAUGACGCGGGUGUCGGUGAAGGAGCGGUGGGUGGUACACCGGCGUCGCGGCCCGAGUAGCUGGAUGCCGCGGCGGCGGGGUCGGUGUCGCCGGCGGAGAAGACGUCGCCGGUGGCGCAGGUGACCCCGGCGGAGAGGGGGCCACCGGCGCCGCCGGAGGCAGCGGCGCCAGCCGGGCACGUCGCUGGUAGACGCGCACCGGCUGGGCGUAACGUGCCGGUGGUGGGGCCGGAGUCGGAGACGCCGGCCCGGGGCCCACGUCGGGAGCACGUCGCUGGUAGACACGCACCGGCUGGGCGAAGCGUACCGGUGGCGAAGGUGCCGACCCGGGACCCGCGUCAGGCGCAGGGGCCGGGCCGGAAGGUGGCACCUCGGGACCCGGGCAGGGUAGAGGCCCCGAGGUGUCACGGGCGACAGGCGACGUAGCAGUACCUGCAGGAAACACCGGAAACGGUGGCUGGACCACCGGGUCAGUAGGAAACACAGAGGAGAGGUCAUGCUCCGAGGUGGAAGCAGGAGUGGCAGUGGUGGAAAAGGGGAAGAUCGACUCGUCGAACACCACAUGGCGAGAUAUGAGGACUCGACGAGAGGUAAGGUCGUAGCAUCGGUACCCCUUGUGAUCCGGGGAGUACCCAAGGAAGACACAGAGAGUCGAACGGGGUGCCAGCUUAUGAGGAGCGGUGGCGGUGGUGUUGGGAUAACACGCACACCCAAAGACUCGAAGGUGAUCAUAGCGAGGAGGGGUACCAAAGAGAGCGUGGUGAGGUGUGGGAGCUGGACAAGCAGCGGAAGGAAGGCGGUUAAGGAGGUAAGUGGAGGUGUGCAAGCUCUCGGCCCAGAAGCGAGCAGGAAGAGAGGCCUGGAGCAGGAGAGUGCGCACGGUGUCGUUGGUGGUGCGAAUCAUGCGCUCAGCCUUGCCGUUUUGAGAGGAUGUAUACGGGCAAGACAUGCGCAACUGGACACCGUGAGAGAGAAAGAAGGCACGGGAGGCGGAGUUGUCGAACUCCCGACCAUUGUCACACUGGAUAGCCUUGAUAGGGAGGCCAAACUGAGUGGACACCCAAGCGAAAAAGUGGACAAGCGCGGGGAAAGCAUCAGACUUUGCACGUAAAGGAAAAGUCCAGGAAUAAUGAGAAUACUCAUCCACCACCACAAGAUAGUACUUGUAUCCAGAAAUACUGAUGACAGGAGAGGUCCAUAAGUCACAAUGUACAAGGUCAAAAAUGCGGGCCGCAUGAGAAGAAGAACUAGAAAAAGGAAGACGAACAUGUCGGCCCAGUUGGCACGCAUGACACAAAUGCUCAUCGUGAGCCCGAGUACAUCGAAUAUCGGAACUACGACUAAGCUGCAUCAAAGCAUCACGUCCAGGAUGGCCGAGACGCCGGUGCCAAGUAGUGGAGGUGGUGGUGGCGAAGGCAGCUGACAAAACCGGCGAAGGAGGCGAGGCAGAUGCCGGAAAGCGAAGAGUGUAAAGGGGCCCCGUGCUGUCACAUCGGAGCAGAGGACGCCGGGAAGCCAAAUCCUUCACAGUAAGACCAGAAGAGUCAAACUCGACAGAACAAGAAUUGUCAGCUGUAAAACGACGAAUAGAAAGAAGAUUGUGAACCAUAGAAGGAGCAACAAGAACAUCAGGAAGACGAAAGGAACCAUGGGGGCCGGCAGCACCCACAGAGGUGACAGGAAGACAAGACCCAUUAGCGACCAUAAUGGACGAAGGGAGAGAUGGAGAAGGAGGGCGAACAGAAGAAAGUAUACCGGGGUUAGGAGUGGUGUGGUAAGUAGCCCCAGAGUCGGCGACCCACUCCGGCCCGACUGGGGGUGUCAGGGCCAUGGUGCUGAAGGAGUGCGCCAAGGCCGCCUGGUCCCAGCCAGCAGACCCGGGCAAGGUCGCCGGUGGAGUAGCCCACGAGUGCGCGGGGAACGGGGCCGCCCACGGGGUCACUGAGGGGAACCCCGGGGGAGCACCCGCAAGCAUGGCCGCCGGCGGGCGAGGCUCGCCACCGGAAGCCUGGAACGGCCACAUGGAGAUGCGCCCUGACCAUGGGUUGUUGUAGGAUGGCCAGGGUGCACCCCGUGGAGGUGGCAGCGUCGUCGUGUUGCCCCCACGACCUGCUCCACGUCCCCCACCACGACGACGGCGGCCGCCCCGACCCCCCCCACCCCCGCUCGGCCCGGGGGGAAGGGGACCAAGAAGAGACGACUGUGGUGGGGUGGCGGGACGGGGCGGAGUGGCAGCGAGAGCAGUCGAGGAGGAGGACGAGGACCCCGAAGCGGAGGUGGACCCAGGCUGUAGGCCCUGAGUAAGCUCCUCCAUGACAAGGUCGUCACGGACCUGCAGGAAGGUGGGGAAGGGCCGCUGCCUGGUGAUCCACGUCCGGAGGUAGGAGUACCGGUCACUGAGCCCGCGGAGAACGUUGAGGACCAAGAUGCGGUCCUCCACGGGCCAGCCGAGGUCGCCGAGGGAGUCCGCCAUACCCUUCAUCUGGCGGCAGUACUCGCUGACGGAGAGGUCUCCCUGGACGAAGGUGCGGAAGCUCGCGUCGAGCCGCAGAGCCCGGGCUUCGGCGUUGCCCAGGAACUGGCCCUCGAGCGCCAGCCAGGCCCCGCGAGCGCUCGGGGUGUUGCGGACGAGGUCGUGGAGAUCCAGGGAGAUCGUCCCCAGAAUCCAGGAGAGGACGACGCUGUCGAGGCGAAGCCACGAGGGGGUCGGGACCGCCCCCGCGGCGUCGAGGAGGACGUGGUCGUCGAGGGCGUAGCGGCGGAGGGUGAGGAGGACCAAGUCCCUCCAGCGAGCGUAGGAGGGCGACUCGGGCUCGAGGACGACCGGGACGAGGAGGCGUAUGUUCUGGACGCCCCCUGCCUGGUAGUGGAGCUGCACCACGUGGGGGUCGGUCGGAUCGUGCCAGACGACCGGAGCUGAUGCCGAGGACGUGGUCCCGACGUCAGGCGAGGCCGGAAGGCCGAGGAACUGCUCCGCGUCGGCAAUCUGGCGGGCCAAGGCGUCGGCCGCGUCACGCUCGCGCUCCCAAGCGAGAGCGGCCUCACGCACGCGGGCCCGGCCCUCCGCAGCUGCAGCACGAGCAGUGGCGAGAGCGGCGAGGAGGGUGGAGUCCGGACGAUGCAUCACGGGCGGCGGAGGCGGUGCAGGGAAGGGAGCCGUGCCCACGGCAGGAAGCCCCCUGGACAGGGCGCCCCCGGCUGUGAGGAGUGUCCUGGGCAGAGUCUCCAUGUCCAGGGGCAUGCCAAGCCCUGCAGCAAUGGCGGCAGCAGCUCCCCGGGCGUAGGCUGCUGCGCUCGAGCCGUCGUCUGCUGCAGGCGCGCGCUCCCCUCGCGCCGCACGCGCUGCAGCCGCGAGCGCUGCCGUGUCCGCGAGCGCUGGAGCAUCCGGGCGCACGUCUGCGUCCGCGCGUGCUGCGUCCGCGCCCGCGCGCGCCUCUGCCGCCGCACGCGCCGCUGCGUCCGCGCCCGCGCGCGCCUCUGCCGCCGCACGCGCCGCGGCUUCCGCGGCAGCCGCCGGCUCCGCGCUCGCGACGGCCGCCAGGAGGAGAGGAGGGCGGGUCGCGGCCGGCAGGGGAGGUCGGGCGGCGGCGGCGGCGGCUUGGGCCCAAGUCGGGUAGGGCAGCGCCGGGAAUUGCUGGAAAUAGGGAGGAGGAGGAGAGGGAGGAGGGUCCCGGCCUGCCAUGGCGGCGGCGGCGGCGCCCAGGCAGCUGGCCGGCCGGCGGCGGCGGCUGCUGGCCUGGAGGCGGCUGGGAAGGGGAGGAGGAGGAAAACCUAGGCUGAUACCAUGUUAGAAUUAGGGUUUCAUUAAUGGGCUUACCCUAAACCAGGGUGGCCAUAUAAUUAUGGAUACAUGGGCCUCAUGGGCCUAGCCUCAUGGGCCUCAUACACAUAUACUCUAACAAUAAGAUUGAAUGGAGGACAUAAAUUGUUUUCCACGAGGCAUUUGUAUUGAUACAAGUUGAGCUGGCUUGGAACAAAAGAUGUUGAGGAUGGGGUUUAUUUACUCAAUAUUCUUGGAUAGGCGUAGUCACAAAUUAGAAUUUUUGUCCAUUCUAUGUGGCACGUAGCUUUACAUUCUGCUACGACUGUGUUUGCCCAAGUUAACUACUCUUGGUUCAGUUCCAUAAACAUUUUCUCUGCUUUCCAAACAAAGGUCUAACUGUGUAAGAGAGAUGUGUUUCUUUCAUUUUCUUAUCUUCAGAGAUGUGUUAGGAUUGAGACGUUUGAUAAGGACUUCAUACAUUCAGAAAUGUUACAAAUUUACUGUCUUCUGACUGUUAUACACCUGCUUUUUGGGCCCAAGACCCAAUCAGGAUGUUAAGUGUUUGGGAAUUCAUACAUUGAUGCAAAAUACCUGGGUGUAUUGUUACAAGGAAGUGACAUUGUGUAAUCCACAAAAUAACAUUAUGCAUAAUUGUUGUUAGAUGGCAUUUGAGAAAAACCAAACAUGUCACCACCCAACGAUCUUCCUAUGCAUUUUUUUAACACAUCAGCAUAUGUUAGUUUGAGAAUUUCAGUUUGGGCUAUUUUAGCUGUUGCAGGUGUGAUAGACUAGGUGCAAUCACAACUGCACAAUAGUUUAAUUCAGAUUGGCCUUUUGGUACUAAGUUAACAGCUUACUGACUAGAUACCUGGUAUCUGCUUUGGGUAUCUAAUUUGGAUAAUUCUGUUUUUUUUUGUUGAUACCUGAUAACUUAUAAGUCUGAUUUAGGAUGACAAGAAAUUUCAAGGUGAGCUCUUUGGGAUCUGCAAUCUUUUCCGUGACUUGUCCGAUAAGCUUUUUACUAGUGAGAUUAUUGAGAUGCAUGGAGAACAUGGCAAGAGUAGUGCAACAGAAGCAACAGGGAUAAGAGAAAUAGUCGAUACUGAUUUAUUUGGUUCACAAGAGAAUAGGAAGUCUUCCACAACAACAACAGAUACGGAUAAUGAGAAAUUGGUUGAUUUUGGUAUGCUCUUUCUCUGAAAAAUUACUUUAUGUUUACCAUAAAUAUACUCAUAAAAGGUUCAUGGACCAAAUGGCGAAGGUUUAGUCAUUACUGUGGCUGUUAGCUUCAAAGUCUGAUACAGAAACUAGUUAUUCAUUUUAGAUGCAAUCUAGACAUUCGGAGAUCCUUGCUCAAAAGUUUUUGAAAUACUGCACCAUUCUGUUCUUUUAUGGUGUUUAUCUGUAGCUAGUAUUCAAGGCUAUCGUUUCCUAGUCUUGGGAUAUUUUGAGCUUAUUCAAUCACAGUCCUUCAUAAAUUCAGAGUUGCUUGCUUUUUUCGUGAACGCGCCUUAGUAUGUCUUAUUAUUCAGACUCAGAUAGCUUGCAUUUUCUACACUAAAAUAUAGACUGCUUAAAAGUUGAAUUAUUAUGUUAUUUUACACGUUUUUGGAAUAUCAAGCUAUUCUUCUGUAGCCUGAAACUGAACAGCUGUUUAUGGAUCCACUAUAAAUAUAGUGAUUCUCUUUGCUGAAAAGUAAAAACCUGGCAUAAAAUUUUUUCACCCUUCGACACCUGGGUGUAUUAUCUAGUAGCUAUUUGUAUUAUGCUCAUGAUUUUGAGAAUAGUUAUGUUUAUGUGUAAUUGUAAAAGUUCAUAUGAGAUUAUUAAUUGAGAAUAGCCUGGUAGGGUGACUUCUUUAACCUCUCUUCCCUCUCACUGAUCCAUUUUAUUUUGAAGUAAUAAAUUUGGUCUGUUCAACAGGGAUAGUUUAUGCCCACCGCAACGAGGAUGUUGUGAACUCUCGAACAAACGAAAGAGAGAAGGGUGGAACAGACAAGACUCUUCAGAGCUCCUUAGAGGAGCUGCACAGUAAGAAUGAAACAAAGCACACUGUCAUGGAAAAAUCUUAUUCACUGGAGGAGAAAAGAAAAGUGGCAAGAUCUUAUUCGCUGGAGCAGAAAAGGAAAGAGUUUAGCCGUAUCGCAUCCUUCAUGGGUAUGGAUGACCUUGAAUUUAGCAAGUGGUUGCUAUCAGCCUCACCACACCAGCGGUCCGAAGUGCUGCAGAACUACAAGAGGAAAAAGAAGCGGAAGUGUGAGAAAAAACAGAAAUGAUGAUGCAGGCCCUCGGAGCUACCGCAGAGCUUGACAUAUAGUAGUUAGCUUGUGUAGUUAUGACAAGGAAUGGUAGUCAAAUUGAGCCGUGGCGCCGAUCAGUAGGUAUGUCUGCAGCCCCGCUUGAUUUUGACACUUAUGGGUGCAAACUGAGCUCAGGAAAGCCUUGGCCACUUUCACUAGCUCUUUUCGGUCAGGUGAAAUCUAGUCUGUAUUGUGGCUGUUAGUUCCUGCUCAGCUGUCUGAGCCUUUGUGUAGCGAAUCUUAUCAUGGAGGUGGCUUGCAAUGUUACCGUGAUCUGUACUAAUCAUUUGGAUACCGUAGUCUUCUAUAUAUGAAGUUUUUUUCUUCGAAACAUACAUAGGCAUACAGCCAUGGAAGUAUAUCUGCUGCUUGUCGCAAAAAAAAAAAAAAAAAAAAAAAAAAAAAAAAAAAACCUGCUGCUUGUAACUAGGUGUGAAGAGUUCUUUCUCCCCAUGGGGGACAUGCGCGUUGCUAGUUGGGAGACGCAUCUUCAAUCAGCCCUGCCUGUGUAGUGGGAGGACAGGUCCCUGAGCAAACGGCACUCACCGUCGAGGCGUCCACCACUGUCACUGUCUCGGCAUAUGUGGCUAGCAGCACGGCAGGCAGAAGCCCUGACCUUCAUGCUUUCAAUCAGUAAUUUUACCCACCAAGGCACCAACUAAUCACUUCCUUAGAGGCACAUUCCAAAACUGCAAUCAUCCACGCUGCAGGUCUAUAAACACGAAUUACGAGCAAUAGACGGUAUUCUUUACAAAUGAUAACUGUCGUCAUUACAGAGUCAACCGCAACUUGACCUCAUGUCACAUAUAGCUAUGACUUUAAAAUCCACAACCAACACUCGGCCGAAACAUAUUUUCUACAAGGCCACACAAACAGGUACUAACCACUACCACCACAUUAGGCAAGCCAGAUAGCAUACAGAUAAUACCAGAUCCCUACCAAUUCCCAACUUCUGCUUAUUCAUAUUCACAAUCUGCAACUAACAAUACUAAACAACUCAUAGGCUAUCGGUGCGGGGUGCCUAGGAGAAAUCACGGUCUGGGAAGAGCAGUGGGGCGAUGAGGGUCCAGAUGUACAACGCGGCGGUGACCCACUCUGUGCAGAUGCGCACCCAGACGGUUGUCCAUCCAACAUCCAUCAGCUCUGAUCUCUCUGAUGCAGCGCUCGUCCAGCCAGUCAAGAGCAUGGCUGAAUACAUGCUUGCAAGGGCGAAGAUGAGGUGGAAGAAGGUGUAGGAAUAGCUCACGGGGCGCGGUUCGCUUUCUUUGCCAUCGCCUUUGCCAUCCUCCUCAUCACCGAGUAAUGGGUUUUUGGCUCCUGCAUGCAUUUUUCAUCACCAUGACAGUCGACCAAGCAUCCGGCUGUGCAGGGAGUUGUAAUUGGAGUAUUCUUACCAGAUCUAGGAGAUGAUGGCGGCGAAAGGAAUGUAGUCGAAGAUCCAGCACGAACUGCAGAGUACACAACAGAGAGCACCGUCGUGAGCAUCCCGAGUAUAAGAGCACCCAAUGAAACCUGCUUAGAAUGCCUGUGAAGCCCAUUGCACUCAUAGUCAUCCGGUUCACUUGAGAGACUUGUGUAGCACAGGUAUGCACAGUAAACAGAAAUGACAGAAGCAGGCAUAACGCUUCCAUUGACCUGGGAAAGGAAACAGUAUUCCAUUACACAUAAACAGCAACAUGUAUCAGGCACCAGCAGAAAACUGUGUGAGCAAUUGCAUUAGAAAUUUGGAUCAUUAAGAAAAUCAAAUGAUUCAGAUUUCUUCGUGCUUAACAAUAUUUAUUUCAAAACUGCACAUAAAUACUUGUUUUUGUUAUAGCUUGACGAGAUUUGAAGUUUGAAGAGGUAUAUUACCUGGGGAUGCAAAGCAACUAUUGCAAAUGCAAAAGCAAGGAUGAAUGUCAUGACAAUAAAGAACACAUUGAGACCACAGUCAUGACCGGAGGGAUUAAACCACAUGAAGAGCACACCAGAGAAGGCGAAUGUAGAGAGAUAGCAAACCACAGUCACUACCAGCAAAGCUAUUUCCCUGAAAUAUCAAACAAGAUGCCGUAAUCAACAUCACAAGAGACAAAGCAAGUUCAAGUGUCACUAGCCUGUGCUCAGCACACUAACCAUUUUCGCUCUUCUUUCUCAAUCCAUGAGUCAUUCCAAUUAUUUGUGAAGUCUAAAAGCAUCACAACCUGUACUAGGAGAAAGAAGCCAGAUCCAAACUUCGAAAGUACCUCUGCAAACCAAUCUCAAAAUUAGUGAAACUUCACUAAAAAUGCCAACUGGCCCGUAAGGAUUAUGGGGCACCUCUACAAUCUACCAAUAGUUAGAAAUGCAAAAGGAGGUAUAUGUAGUGCAAUCUAUGAAUUAGCUGAAGCCAUCAGAAGUUCUCUGACUUUGGAGAUAAUGUCAACACAAGGAAAAAAAAAGAAACCAACAAACUGAGGUGUCUGCCUGAAUAUAAUGUAUCAGUAUAUGCAAAAAAAUUCAAGCCUAAAUACACAGGUGGUAGAAUUAUCAUGAAAAGAGAUUAUUUUAGAUAUCUGUAAACAAUAUUCAUAUGCAUCUUGUUACUACAAACAUGUUAAUAUAGUACACACUUGCAAAAUUGCACUAAAGAUAGAAAAUGAUGAGGAAAACGAGGUUACCAACUUACCAUAAAUAGUAAUAACAAUGUUUGGCACACAGAACAUAAGAACAAUGAGAACAGCCCAUACAGCAACCUUUGCAAUCCAGCCACCAUGGUGCCAUGCAUCUCGCCGAUCAUUCUGGUCUUUCACACCAAUCAUCAUGAGAGCAAAUGUUGCAAAAAACAAGAAGUUCCCCAGGCUUACACGAAGAACAGCAUUCAUUUGAAACCAUUCUUCUGGUGGUGUUUGAUCAAAUGCAUUUAUCCCUGCAAUGCAAUACAUUACAGACUUACUAGCCACUAACAUGAUCAUUAAAUUAAUGACUGAAAAGUCCAUCUGAUUUAUCAUAAUAAGCUCAACGAUUUGAUGGAUCAAAAUUUCAAAACAAAGAAAAACAAUUUUUGAAAUAACAACUCUCUGUUUCUUCUUCUUCAACCGAAAAAAAACUCCAAAAGUUGAUAUUUUUACAAACCAGCAUGCAUUUAUGGUAAAUAGGCAAAGUUGUUCCCAGUGAUGACAACAAAGACCACACAAAUGCUCAACCAUGCAUGUGCAUAAAAACCACACUGAUGCAUUUAAAAAACCAUUAAGGCCCCAUUUGGAAUACAGACAGGAUUAUUUUUCUUGUUUCCUGCGUUUUUCUUGUGAAAUUUCUACACGAUUCCUGUGAAAUUCCUGUGUUUCAAAGGGGCUCUAAGCAUUGAACGACCAUCCAUGCUCAAGAUUCUCAGCCUGUGCAAGACUUAUGACUUAUGAACUUGCACUCAAACAAAAAUCACAGUUCUAGAUAUUACAGCACAGAAGAGGAAUAACACUCGGUGGCUGUGCCUGUGCCUGUGCCUGUGCCCAAGAAAAAACAUCUCGUAAAUGUCAAUGUACAGCUCGGGCGCUGUGCAGAAAGGACAUCUGGUAAAUGUAAACCGAAAAGAUGCUCUAUAGAACUUUCCACAACAACUAUUAUGAACCUUUUUUGUCUGCUAGUACUUUACAGGAAUGACAAAAUAGUAAAAUAUUCUACUGCAGAAAUCCAUUUCAUCAUGUGCAGCAAAAGAACGCUCUUCAUUACUUUCGUGCAUCUUGAGCCUUGAGGUUGAGGGACGUGGAGAAAUUUAAUGAAUUCUACAUCACAUUCAAGAGAGCAAAUGUUUACACGUACGUAAAGCUCAUGAAACUAUCUGACUUCCUUGGGAACUCCAUGUCAAGGUGCCUUGGAUUCAUCAUCUAGAUCAAGCUAAAAACUGAAAUCGUGCAUGUGGAGGAACAUAAAAAAAGGGUUAAAUGGAUGAGCCACGACAGUGACUAUUUAAUAGGCAUCCGGUGGCGAAUUCCCCAAGUCAGUUCACAACCACACAAAGGUAAGGUCGAUCUAGCACGCUACAUCACAAUUAACUAAAUAAAUUAACUAGAACUGCCACAAAAAUUGAAGAUAGGAACUCCACGCAGGUCUAUCGAUCUUAGCAAUUGGAGGGGGGGAAACAGCGAGAGCAUUCAAAGGAAGAGGAAUUAGGGCUAUAGGAUAUGAUGGGUUGGGGUCGCUGGAGAGUGAGUAGCAAUUGUGGGACACAUACAUGGGAUAUGCUUGAGGAGCGGCGCGGCGAACUGGCGGAGCAAGAAGGAGAGGAUAAGGGAGGCGGCGAAGAGGCCGCAGUAGGCGAGGCGCGCGGAGCGGCGGGACACGGCCGAUGCCGCCGACGCGCAGAGGUUGCAGGUGCAGCCCGCGCAGGCGGACGCCAAGCACGACGCGCACCACAUCCUGCGCCGGCGAUCCUCUCGCUCCCGCGUGCGGAGCCGGGCUCCUCUUGUUCCUCGUCGGCUUUGGAGUUUGGACCCCGCUGAGCCUUCGAGACUCGAGAGUUGGAGUUCUCCGGUCCUCCUCCCGCCCAGAGUCCCAGUCCCAGCUCCGUGCGAUGGUGCCUCUGUCUCGUGGACCGUUUAUUCCACCAACCCGCUGCUGGCCUGCAGCAGCACCGGAUCUCACUACAAGAUUUUUCUAGCUUCUCAUGUUGUCAUGUCGACUAUGGCCUUGUUUAGCAUAGCUCAACUUCACUAGUAAAGCUGUCUUUUUAGAAAAUAGCUUUAUGAGUGACUUUCUAAAUAAAGCUGAGCUGUUUUGGAGAAAGUGUUUGGCAAAAUAGCUUCACCAACUACUUUAUGCAUAGUUGAGAGAGAGAAAUGAGGGAGAAGCUGCAAUAAGCUACUUUUUUCCAGCUUCAUCCCAACUUAUAUCUUUGUGAGAGGAGGGGAAAACAGCUUCACCCAUGAAGUUGUUUUAAAAAUAAGUGUUUGGCAAAAAAAACAGCUCACAACAGCUUCAUGAAGCUGUUGUGAGCUGUACCAAACAGACCCUAUAUUUAACACCAACUUAAGUCCGAUUUGAAACGGCUUUUCCACGGGCUCCUUCAGCCGUUUGGAGCCAUUUUGUACCAAAAUAGAUACAACUAAACGGCUUCACUCAACAAACCCCUUAAAUCGUGCUUUCAUAGAGGAUAUGUAGAGGGUGGAGCCAAAAAUAGUGGUUUUUUCCGACUUCAACUUGCCCUAAUAAGACCUUCUAUGGUGUGUUUUACGAGAACAUGUUUUAAAAAGCUCUACAUGUGGAGUUGUUUGGCUAAAUAGUUUGCUAAACAUUUAAAAAAAAAUAGUUUGCUAAAAUGGCUCCAGCUCCACCAACGAAGUUGUCCAUGAAGCCAAAGCAAACAAAAACUUCACUGAUGAAAUAGAGCUGUACGUGUCGAACGAUGUCUAAUUUUUAACUCAUCAAGCACAAGUUUCAUCAUUUAUUGAACCUUAUUGAACCUGAUGGGUAGCAGGGAAAUUGCUAGUUGAUAAGAUUAGAAUAGGUUGCAUACCUUUUUUACGGUAGAGAUAGCAACACACCUAGAAAAAUAUUAGUUCCACAUCUAAAUAAAUUAUAUAUUGCAUAGGUUUUGACUAUGUUGUUUUGGGGGCCAAAGGUUAGAAGUAGUUUUAAGUUGUUCAACCCACUCUUAGGCAUUACGGUCCCUUUAAAUUUCUUGGAUGUGAAGCUAGGGUUAUUGGGUGAUAUUUCCUAAAGCAUGUGUGGUGAUUAUCAGUAGUGUUUAGGUGAGGUGUUGGGGUUGUGCAACCUAGAGUUUGAGAUUUUAAUUGGGAGAUGAAACUAGUGAUUAGAAAAUGAACCAUCUUGAGAGAAAAAAAAAUUCAUGAACUUGGAUCAUGGUAACUUAACUUUGAGACUUGAGCGACCCACACCAAGAUCAUGCCUAAGUCUUGCUCCUUCUUGCUUCUAGGUGAGAGAUAUGGAUUUGAGCCAAGAUCAAGAUUUUCUUACAAAAAUCACAUAACUUCCAUUGUGCAGGAGUUCGAGGAAUUCAUGAGAUGAUUGAGUGAGAGAGGGGUUUAAGCUUACACUUGAGAUGAUGUAGUAGCUAGCGGCCUUCUCCUUCCAUUCAUGAAUGGUGAAAUCAAAGAUUAGGAUUUGAGUUGGGAUUUGGAAGAAAUGAAAAGGGGAUUUCUUGAGCUGAUCCAAGGAUUGAGAUGGAGAGGUGAUGACCUUCACUUUCUCCUUGAGAUGAUGAUGCUUGGUCCUCCCUGACAUUCCUUUUUCUUCUUUUCUUUCUCUUCCUUUCUUCUUUUCUCUCACUAGUUCUUCCUUCCUUUUCAUCUUUAUCAACUCUUCCAACCUUUCUUGGGACUAACAUUUCUCAUUAAGGUCAUAUUAGUCCCUAAUUUGGACAUCAUCAAUACACCAAAGACCAUGUAGGGGACAAAUGCACUUUCACUCUCGCCACCCGUGCUACACACGAUCCUCAAUCAGCGGUCAGUUUUAGAAAUGACUAUCCACGCCUUCGUUGUUAACCAUCUCAACUUUAAAGCAACUAGGUAUCUUUAUCUUCUUUUUCCUUUUCUCCUUUCUUUGGAAGUACAAGGCACCGGUAGUGGAGGUUUAAAUUGGGCUUUCACAAACUUUUUGCAUAAUAUAAACAUAUUGCUUAGCCAAAUUAAUCAUAUGCUUAAGGUUGACAACAAAAAAGUUAUACAACCUAAAUUUUAAUCCUCUGACAUAAGAAUUCUUAGAAAUCAUCACAAAAAUAAUAAUAACAAUUCUUAGGAAUCAUCACAAAAAUAAUAAUAACAAUUCUUAGAAAGUAAUUUGUGAAUGCAAAAAAGGGUCAGGUACACUUAAUCUUUUGGUGAUAUAUCCAAGUGUAGGUUCUCUUCAUUUGUCCUAUUUGGAGCACUUAGAACGUAUUUCAAUAAGUUCAUAUAUUUCUUUUAUUAAGCUUAACAGUGUUUCUGGUUCAGUGGAACAAUCUAUAUCUCUUAUAAAGAUAAACACUACUAACUAUUUCUCUUGUCAUAUAAAGUGUCUACAUCAGCAUCCACUAGAAUAUCCCGCUAGCACAUUCAAGUAUCUCACCAUGCAAAGUGUCCAUAUUAACAUCCACUAACACAUGCCAUUAUAUCUUCAUUCAAGCUAUUAACAUUAAAAAUCAUAUUAUUUAUUAACAUAUAUUGCUGUAUUAUCAACGCCAUAUAUAUACAUCUUUUGAUUCUUAGUUAUUAAUAUUUUAACCUAUCUAUAUUUCUUCUUCCUACCCAUGGCAAUGCACAGGGAAUCCUCCUAGCUGUUUAUGUUUAUUAGAACAAAAAUAUCCUAGAUUGAGUUGAAAAUCACCACACUCAUAAGAGAAUAUUGUUUUUAGUUUAUAAGUAAAACAUUAUAGCUUUACACAUGAAAAACAUACUUUGUUCAAGUCAAAAGGGUUUCUAGCUUCAAUUGAAAAUAGAUAUUCAACCUUAAUAAAAUAUAAAAAAUAUUAUGUUUACUUAUUUUUUAUAUACUAAUAAAACAAUAUUUUUUUCACAUAAUUAGAUGAUACCUCGUGCGUUGCCGCGAAAUUUGUAGUCGUGUAUAGGUGGAGAUUAGUGCAGUGAGAAACAGUGGAAAAAUAUCCUAGAUUGAGUUGAAAAUCGCCACAUUGAUAAGAGAAUAUUGUUUUUAGUUUAUAAGAAAAACAUUAUAGCUUUACACAUGAAAACAUACUUGGUUCAAGUAAAAAGGGUUUCUAGCUUCAAUUAAAAUAGAUGUUCAACCUGAAUAAAAUAUAAAAAUGUUCUGUUUACUUAUUUUUUAUAUACCAAUAAAACAUUAUUUUUUUUACAUAAUUAGAUGAUACCUCGUGCGUAGCCGCGAAAUUUGUAGCCAUGUAUAGGUGGAGAUUAGUGCAGUGAGAAAUAGUGGAAGGAAGAAAUAAAAGCAUUGGUCAUUGAAGCAUGCACAUGAUUGUUUUAGAAAACAUAUAAGUUGGUAGCUGCUUAUAAGUUGAUUAUAAAAUCGUGAGCAUAUUUUACAAAGAAAAAAAAUCAAUAUAUACCAUCCCUUCUAUAUCACUAGAACAUGUAAGUUUCCCCAUUGCUAUUGAAUUUAGUUUUUGCAUUCGUUAUAUCCCACCGUUGUUAUUUUUACCACUACAUGGAAGCCAUGGUUAUGCAAUUAAAAUGGCCAGCCUUUCAAUAGCUUAUAAAUCCGACUAAUGAACUGUUCAGGUUAUGGACGUUUUGUAAUGCAAACUCACACUAAUGGAGGAACAAGUGAGUGGUUGUUUAUUUGUGCCGCAUGUACAACUCGAAGGUGGUAAUGUAGCUUCAUGAGAUCAUAGAUACUGUAUAUCUGUUAGUGGGGGUCUCCUUAGUUACAGUAGAUAGUAGAUUGAAGUCAAAGUUCCUCUAGCCGUUGAUAGUGUCCUGUAUAAAGAAAUAAAAAUACGAAAUAAGAAGAAUAAUAAAAAAUAAAAACAGUGAAAGAAAAAAAAUUGCAAAAAGAAAUACUCUACGCGAAAAACAGCGGCCCAGAAAAGGCCCAUGCGCUCCCGGGCCGAACAACCUCGGACCGGGCUACCGCCGUACGCCGCAUCUGUUCACCUUCACCCCGUGUGCUCUCUCUCUCCCCCCCCCCCCCCUCUCUGUCCGACGGCUGGGUGUUCGCCGCCGCCGCCGCCCUACGCCAGGUGCCGAGGCCUUAGCCGGUCUCUUUGCCGGCGACGAGAACCCACCAGGUAUUCCCACCCCUUCUCCUCCCUUCCUGCUGUGCGAAGCCGAGCACCCAAACCCUAAAUUAGCUAGCUAUCUGGCUAUGACUGAUCCCUACUAACUUCCCUGCGCAGACGAGCUAACGGCAACACCGAGUCAAGCCGUCCGGGCUUAACAGUUCGCGGCGAUGGGCCGCCCGGAGCCGGUCGUGCUGUUCGCUCAGACGAUCCUCCACUCCCAGCUGGACGAAUACGUCGACGAGGUGCGGUUCCCCAUCCCGUUUCUUCUCCCCUUUAAUGUGCUCUGUAAUAUCCGACCAAGCUAGUGCUGGGUGAAUAAAAUGCUCUAAUAGUUUGGUAGACUGGUGUUGGUACAUGCAAUGCACUUGCAUGGUUAGGCAAGGUUGAGAACAAGAGGUAAUUGGAGUGAUUUGAUCUUAAUGCACUAAUUAUGUAGAUGAAGCGGUAUAGUGAGGAAAAUAUUGUACCUAAUCAUGCUAACUAGGUUUAGGUGUCACGGAUUACAGCUAGCUAUUAUUUACUGCUAAUGAGACCCUAUACGCUGGACCAACUAUUUAUUGUCCCUGUUCGAUACAAUCGUCUGUAUCUUAGAACCUAUCCUUAUGAUAUUUUCACUAAACUGUGAAUGUAAUGUUGAGAUAUGAAUUUGUAGAAACUUGCACAGCAGAUACUCAACCUUGGGACGUUUUCCUCUAAGACUAGACAGUGUGUAGGAAUACCUAUGCUUCAAACUCCUUUUGUGAUCUCAACCUUGAUGUCUGCACAUUGCAAGAGUGAAUUCAAGCAUCGAGAAUCCUGGCGCCGGGUAAGGAACAUGCCUUGGGGCUUGCUCUAGGAGAAAAGUACACGGUCCUACUUGCAAGUGAUAUGGGGACUCUGCUCUGGGAGAAUAAAAUGAUAUUUAAUUCAAUAGUUAAGCAUCGUUAGCCGCUGCAGCUCAAAUGGAAAAUGAAGCAUCGGUCAUCGUUUGGUAUUUGAAGCAUCUAAUUGGAUUUAGAACAUUGCGGCUAGUCUAAGCCAAGAAUCUAAUUUUGAGCUGUCAAUGAUUGCAACUAACAAAUGUCGAGAUAAAGGGAGUGGCAUUCUCUUAAGUCUCAACCUCAUAUAUGUUUCUUAUUCUUAAGUGCACCUUACAUCAUGCAGGUGCUAUUUUCUGAACCAGUUGUGAUCACUGCUUGUGAGUUUCUUGAGCAGAAUGCAUCUCCUUCUACACCAAACAUUUCCCUUAUUGGGUAAGAAGCAUUUCUUUUGAAUCUUGUUUUUUGUUCUUACGGCACUCCUGCAUUUACGAUACUUUUUUUCUAAUCAACAAAAAUAUGAUCCUGAUGUAAAGGUUACUUGUGACAGAAUGUGUCCUGCAGAAGAGUGCCCUGUUGAACUUAUUUGUCUAUUGCAGUUUAUUGAAAACAGGGAUAACUUUUUGUUGUGUUAGUGGAUUGCCCACCUCUUCCCAAUCGCUUAAGCUUUUGGGUUCAUUUGGUUGGUGAAUUAAACAUAACAUGGUAUCAAAGCCAGAGGUCUCGAGUUCGAGUCCUGGUAGAGGCAUCUUUUAAGUCGUCCGCUCCCUUCGUUAUUUCCACGUUUGCACCUUGUUCUAGCUGCACGUGAGUGGGAGUGUUUUUAAGUAUUAGUGUUUCCCCAUCUCCUCCCAAUCGCUUAAGCUUUUGGGGUUCAUCUGGUUGGUACAUGAAACCUAACACUUUUAUAUCAUCUAGUGAUCUUGAUGUUUGGACCGUUUUGAUAUAUUGGUGAUACUCUGCAUAUAUUAAAUAUGUUAAUUACCUUCAUUUGUCCAUUUGACCCUUGAAGGUUUAAUGCCAUGCCUUGCCAACUAUUUAGGUGUUCGAUGGGAGUGUUCCUUUUGCUUUUGUACUGUAGAACAACAGCUAAAUCAGAUAAAUUAUUUAUCAAAUGCUUAUAUUUCUAUGAGUAAAAGUUGAAAAAGAUCCAAAUGUUCGGAAUGAUUUUAUUUUGUUAUAGAUAAUAUGUCUCGAGGAUAAUAUGUUUUUUUACAAUUCUGAAACAUGCUGAAAACAACAAUGGCUGCAUCAAACUUGGAUUGCAUACAAGUUUGCUUAUGCCAUUUAACCUAACUACAAUCAUAAUAACAAUGAUAGAUAGUUUAAAAAAAUUCCCUAGCACUAAUAUGAAGAGAGGGAGGGAGGGAGCAUGAGAUAAGUUCUAAGGAUACCACCAAGACUCUAAAGCUUCAAAAGAAUAUUUCAACUCUCUGUUUUAUCUUUUUUUUUUUUAAAAAAAAAAUCUUGUAAAUGGGACUACACAUCUGAAUUUCCCAUGUAUAUGGGCCAUGCCUUACAGCUGACAAUUUUCAAGAACCUCUGUAAACUAUAUAAGGCAUGCCAUUUUUGAAGAGUUUAAAGUUUUUAUUUAGUCAUUUUCCCCACAGGGUAUGACCUACAGACUAACUUUAUAUGCAGAGGAUGCCAAUGAUUUGUAAUGGUUCAGCUUAACCUUUUUCCCAUAAUUACUUCUCGUUUUGUUGUCUCUAGUGGUAGGAAGAUAUUCACCCUAGCUCAUGAUACAUGUUUUAUACACGUAAAAGCACCCCAGAGGGAGUAAACAAACAUAGCGUACUAAUCCUUCCCAAAGCUUUAAUUGAAAUGGCGCAAGGGAUAGGGGAUACAAAUUCUUAUUGGUUUGCUCGAGGAAGGUAUAGUUGCAGGAAUGAGGAUUCGUCUUCCUAGGUCAAAGGCCGGGUGGACAUUCCCUGUCUCGUUCUGCAUAUCUUUAGGAUAAAAGAAAAAACAAGUAGUAAUGUUAAAUUAUAGUACCUAUUCAGUUCAUUAAGCCUGAGGCAAUCUUCUUAAAACACUUCUUUUUUCCUUUUAAGAUUUAAUACAACUUGUUGGUAUUGAUUGAUGCUUUUGUUUCUUAGGAGUAAGAUUCCGGUUCCUUCAGUUUAGAUUUCCUAAUAUAAUUGUACUGACCUGUGCGAGGAGCAUGUGCACACAUCUUUUUUUAAUUAACAACACUGCUUUUGCUUAUGUUGAUUGAUGAGCCAUGUUCCCUUACUACUACUGUUGUUGUUAUAUCCAGUGCUACAUCGCCACCUUCAUUUGCUUUGGAAGUGUUUGUUCACUGUGAUGGGGAGUCUCGAUUUAGGCGUCUUUGCCAUCCUUUCUUAUAUUCACAUUCUUCAUCCAAUGUGCUAGAAGUUGAGGUAUGAAUAAAUUCAUAGUUUCUAGUUUGUCAUGUUCUCUUAACUGGCACUUCUUAUUUUGUUGCUAUUUUUAUCCAUAUCUUGCUGAGGUAAGGAUUGUCGUAGUCCAGGUGGGGUAAGGAUCCCAUUGUGUGAGGGUAGGAAGCCUGUCCUUUGUUGACUGGUCAGGAGCUCUUCUCCUAUGCAGCUCGCCAAGAAUCUGGGCGGUUGAAGAAAGAGGCUGACCCAAAAGAACAUUUUGUAUAUUCCUUAUGAAUUUCAAGGUUAUUUAGAUGAUUGAUAGAGAGCCUCUGAAAUUUUGUUGUCUAAUCUUUUCAAAUUUCAACUCAUCGAGAUAAUGUUCUGGCCAGCUAAAAUAUCAUGUAACUGAUCUUAUCCUAAGAAGCUAAUUUAUCACUUAUAGAGAAACAAGAAUUCUUGUUUAGGAUAUGAAUUAGUUCUAAUUUUGGCUGCAGCCAUCGCAACACUACUUCAGGUUUUGUUCAUACCACACUCUGGGCCUAAAAGCCAUAACAAUGUUUCAUCUUUCAUGUUAAGUUAGUGAGAUUUUCCAUAUUGGAAGUCCUAAACCCUGUGCACUGUCCUAUCUGUUGUACACAAAAAAAUAUCUUUAAAUCUAGAAAUUGCAGUUAAAACUUGUGAUCAUUAAACUGCAAAGAUUCACAUUAUCCAGAUGAAUAAAAAGAGUGAGCAGAUAAUCCCAUCCUCAGAUGAAUAAAAGAGUGAGCAGAUAAUCCCAUCCUCACUGGAGGAUGCUAUGUGGUGCAUGCACAAAUAAAUCCACAGAUAUUCAUUGAAGGUGAACAUGGUAGAACCCAUCAGAACCAUCUAAUUUCUCUUUAAGCAGUUUCGAUAUGAUAGACUUUCUCUUCAGAUAUGGUAAACUAUUGGCUGAACAGGAUUAGGAACCAUUGAUCUGAAAUGUGAAAAAAUCUCAUUAACUUAACAUAUAAUAUAACAUUGUUAUGGCUUUUAGGCCCAGAGUGUGGUAUGAACAAAACCAGCAGAACUCUCUCAACUGAGGAUGGGAUUAUCUGCUCACCCUUUUAUCCAUCUGGAAAAUGUGAAUCUUUGCAGUUUAAUGAUCAGUAGUAAGUUUUAAAUGCAUUUCUAGAUUUAAAGAUAUUUUAUGUGUGUAUGACAGAUAGGACAGUGGAUAGGGUUUAGAACUAAAAAUAGUUGUUUAUUCCAGAUCUAUAAAUUGCCCUAGUGAUUGUAAGACCCUGAACUUUCUAGAGUCUGACUUUCGAUUCCUUGAACUCAGAGCUGCAAAAUUAUUUAAAGAUUCUUUGGGAACUGUUUAAUGAGUGUUUAUAAAAUGGUUUAAGUUGUUAGUUAAGGUCUUAUUUAAUAGUACAAUCCUUGUUUAGUUCUGCCCCCAAUAAACCAUAUUAGGAUUUGAGAAAAUGUUUCGAAGUAUACUUUGACUAUUAGUACGUUGUCUUACAAUAUAUUAUCAAUUACUACAUACCAAUCUCUAUCUAUCUAUAUCUAUAUCUAUAUGUCCUAUAAUCCUAAACCUUACUAGAAUUCUAUCUCGACAUGCAAACCAUCCACACCAGCAGCCCACUAGCACAUGCAAUUGUGGCACCUAUCUAUUCACGCAAGCCAUCCACCUCAACAAGCCACAUCAUCCACUAACAUGCAUUUAUUUGUCCACGUCAGCAUACCACACCAUCCACUAAAAUUCAUUUACAAUCCCUGCAGCAGCCCGUGGUGUAUGCUUCUAGUGUCUUUCUAAAAUACAUGUGAAAUACAAACCAAUUGAUGCAUCUUUUGUGCAUUAAAUAAUAAAUAUACAUAUAUUUUGACUAAUGAUGUCAAAGUUUGACUUUUUUGAAUUCUCAUACUACACCAUAUAUUUUAAAAUGAUGGAGUAAUAGUAUCAACUACUUUGUUCUUUGUUUUUUUAAUCUUCUUUUGUGAAAAAAGAUAUGAUGAAGCUCAUCAUUUUGUGUUCGAAAACCAGAUUUUCAGUAUCCUUAUUUUAUCCUAACAAACAAAAUGUGGCCCUUAUUAAAAAAAAUUAAAAUGUGGUAUUUAAACUCUAUUUGACAAACGACAAAUGACAAUUUUUGUAAAACUGAAUAUCCAAGCAACCAUAAGUCAGCAGCAGUUCUAUGCUUUCUAAUUGGUAGUCAUGAAUAAUAUUACACCUUGCCUCAAACUAAUUUACAGGUCACUUGUGUCAGAUGUCAUUUUACUUUUCUCUUAUUGAGCUUUCUAGUAACAAAGAAUUUCUUUACACAAAAAAAGAUUUUCUUACUGGGCAUUGGCAAUUUAUAAGUUAAUAAACAUUGAAAAUACAGCCAAACAUGUUUGAGGACUUCUGUUGCUCUUACUUAGUAUAGACUGCCUUGUUCUAGAUUUUCUGCUGGUUAUCUAAAUCAUGUGGUAGUAUCUGUCACAUCUGCUUGUCUGAUAUUGUGGGGCAUGAUUCUUCUUUCGCUUCACACGAAUUUCAUUGUUUUUCUUAAUUUGCAGGCUAUUGUGACGAACCAUUUAGUUCUGCGUGGAACUUAUCGCAGCCUCACCCUUGUAAUAUAUGGCAAUACCGCCGAAGACCUUGGUCAAUUCAACAUAGAACUAGGUCUGGACCAUUCUGUUGCGAAUGUUGUUAGCUCUCCAUCAGAGGGAAAGCUUGAAGACCUCCCACCAGCGCUACUUUCAUCCAAAUUGUCAUUUGAAGAAUCAUUAUCAUCAUUGAAACCAUUGAGUUUUCAUGCCACUGAUGUUGACUUAUCAAUUGAAGCGAAGAAAGUCUUACAUUUGGCUCUGAAAAUGUACCAAAUGUCUGAUGUGGAAAAUCUUAUUCCUAACCUAAGAAGCGCAGUUCUCUCAGCUAUUUCUAAAUAUGUGACUGCUAGUACAAACCAUAUUCUACAUACUUCGAGUCAAGACUCAGCAAAUUCUUUCACCAAGAGUGAUUUUGAUUCUCAGGAAAUUAACAAUAUUCUUGCUGAAGCUGGUAAUGAGCUCUCUGAAAUUUGGAAAAAUGUCCAUGCUGUUACUGACAGUAAUCUUUUCAAUGAUAAUGGUUUUACCAUUGGAGGAGAUGAAGACUUGCCCACGACCAAGAUUCUAAUUGAGUUGUUUAACCAAUGUUUCCCAUAUUACAAGAAUUUUUCUUUACUUGAUCUACAAUGUCCUUCUCAGGUAUAUCAUGUGAUGUUAUAUCAUUGGCUACACAUCUAUUUAAUGUUCAACAUUUUUUUUAAUCUCACGCCAAUUCGAUUUCAGAACAAAUGGUUGGUCCUGUCUUUGAGUUUGGUUCUCCUGCUAUGCUCCUCAAAAGAGAGUUGCUUUUAUUUUGUUGAUACUGGUGGGAUGGAGCAAAUCAUUAAUCUGCUUUGUUGGAAGACACCAAAAUCUGCAGCUACCACAUUGCUUCUCCUAGGUAUUGUGGAGCAUGCUACUAGGAAUGGUUUUGGAUGUGAAGCUUUCCUGGGAUGGUGGCCGCAAACUGAGCACAGCAGUAUACGUGUUGCCAGCAGCAAUGGCUAUUGCUCUUUGCUGAAGCUUCUACUGGAAAAGGAAAGGCAUGAUAUUGCCUCUCUAGCUACGUAUGUUCUACAACGCUUGCGUUUUUAUGAGAUACUAUCUAAAUACGAGGUUCGAAGUACCCCCCCUCCUAACCCCUUACUGACCGAUCUUUGUAUUCAAUCUUAAUGCAUUGUUUUGUAGUUUUAUAUAUGAUAACGUUGGUGAUGCGAAGCUCUUGGUUGUUUUGCAGUCUGUGGUAGUCAAAGUGAUUUCCAAUCUUCAGGCUGAUAAAGUUUCUACUGAUGGAGUUCCAUUUCUUAUUUCUGCUAGUGUCGAACUUGCUGAAAUGCUGGUAAGACUAUCACUUUGUCCUUUUACAGUCAAACAUUCUUUACAGCUGUAUGUAGUGUCAUCUUCAAAAGUGAUGGGCUACAUUGUGACUUUAUGUUGACAAAUGCUGAUGCAGAAAUUGAUAAUUUGUUGUGGCCCUAUUGAAGACCCGUCACCAGUGGCUACUGCUAGAAGAUUAUUUAAGUCUGAACAUUUGGAAGGCUUGCUUUCGUACAAAGCAACAAUUGAUCUUAUAAGUUCGUCUAAAUACAGUUUUUUGCAGUAUGAUACUGAUCCAUACUUAUUGUCUCUCAUCCAGGUAAUGCUGUUAAUUUGCAUUGCUGUUUCUACACAUAUUUUGUACCUAUGUGGUCUGAGCUUGAUUAUAGUUAGGUUAAUACUCGUGUCAAUUUGCAUGAUCUUCUCUGGCCUUGUUUAGUUGGCAUUUUUUUUUUUGUUUUUGGCUACUGUAGCACUUUCGUUUGUAUUUGUUAACAAAAGAUUCGUCUCUCAAAUUACAGGCAAACUGUGCAAUUAGUAAUUUUUUUAUUUAUAUUUAAUGCUCCAUGCAUGUGCCGCAAGAUUCGGUGUGAUGGGGAAUCUUGAAAAUUUUUGGGAACUAAACAAGGUCUCUGUUUUUAUGUUAUUAUUUUAUAUAACUUCAUUGUCCUAUAUGACACAGUUGCAUGUCUGUACCUAUAUGCUCUGACUGCUGUUUUGACAGGCUAUGAAUGCUUUGUGCUCUCAACAUUUUAUGUCUGUUUCUAGGAAUUAGGGUCUAAACCUUACUAGCUCUUUGAUCUUAUUAGUCUUAACAUCUCUAUUAUGGUGCUGUCUGGGGCCAAGGUCUGACACAGCUUGCAUUGGGUUGAGUUGAGUCAGUAGUCCUUGUUUCUCUUUUCUGUUUGUUGCAGACUUUCUACUUCUUUGAUUGUGUGUUAUAACUGGAUCUUUAUUCUUGAUGCAACGAUACACAGUUCUCUCAUGUACUUGAGAAAAUUUUGUGAUUCUAUUCUAUUUCGCUGUUACAAUUCCACUGAGGCUGCUGUAACCAUUGUAUCUCAUUUGUUCUUUUCCUGUUAGCCUUUAUUGGCCUUUCUAGGAUUCCACAAUUUCCAAUCAGAACGGGUUUGAUCCAUCUUUUGCAUUCUGAUAUAAAAAAUUAUGAUGACCUGAUGGUCAUACCAUUCUUUAUCUUGAAAAUAGUAAACUUUUGCUAGCUAUCCAGGCAACAGUCCCAACCAUAGGAGCAAGCAUAUCUGUUCUUUUGAUUCUGAUGCCAAAUUGAAGCUAAUAUAGUACCACUCUCUGUCCCAAAUUAUAGGCCUUUUUGGCUUUUCUAGGUACAUAGCUUUUGUUAUGCACCUAGAUAUACAAUAUAUCUAGAUACAUAAUAAAAGUCUUGUAUCUAGAAAAGUCAAAACGGCCUAUAAAUUGGAACGGAAGGAGUAAAUAAGUUUGGCAACUAGAAAAUGAUUUGGAGAAUAUGUGAUCUCUGGCGUUGCCUAACUGGGCAACUGAAUAAAGCAAAUUGAUCAACUGCAAAAUCACACAAGAUGAAAAAUAUUUUAUUGACCAUCUGUUGAUUAUCCAUUUAACUACUUAAAAGCACAAGAUUAGAAAUAUUUUAACUUAACUUCAUAAACGAAAUGAUUUAUGGGAAUGAAUUCUUCAUAAACGAAAUGAUUUAUGGGAAUGCAUUCUGCAAUCUGUUGAUUAUCAGUAUUCAUAGACGUCAUAAAUGCACUUGUUUUAUAAGCUUACAGCUGAAUUCGUGACUUGAGAUACAAUUUCUUCACUUCUGUGUUCUUUAUAUGCAGGAACGAAGUUUUUUUCCUCUGUCAGCCGCCUUAUUGUCAUCACCUAUAUUGCAUUCAGCCAGUGGCCCUGCUGCCGAAAUUUUGAUGGGGAUAGCAUCAUCAAUUGAAUCUCUUAUCCUCUCCCUCCUCUUUUGUCGUUCAGGUUUUGAUUGGCAUUUUACCUUUCUUAAACUGGAAACAUCUUAAUCUCCAUUUUCAUGAAAUUCUGACUGAACUUAUUCUUUUAUAUUCCCAGGGUUAUCAUUCUUGCUCAGCCAACCUGAAGCAACUGAGCUUAUAGUUCUUUCUCUUCAAGAUGCAGAAAAUAUGAAUAAAGCAGAAUGCAUAACUCUUCGACAGGCUUUUGUUCUUUUAUCAAAAGGGUUUUUCUGCCGCCCAAAAGAAGUUGGAAUGAUCACAGAAUUACAUCUUAAAGUGGUUUGUGCAGGCCUCAUUGCAUUAUGCUUAUUCAAUUUCUAUUGUUUUAUAAGAGCUUUUUCACAUGAACUUGGCUUUGUGCUGCCAUGAAACUAAAAUAUAUUAGAUUAUGCAAUUCACUUUUAAGAAUAUGGACUCUUUCUAAGGGGAUGCCAUUAUGGUUAUGGAAUAAAGGAUACCAUGAAGAAAGGAUAAACAAGAAAUUAUCUCUAGUAUUUCCCUUCUCCACAUCUCCAUCUCCUGCACCGGGCUAGACAACAAUGUUCUGUGUGUGUUUACACAUGUUUUUGUGAAAUCACUCGGUUCAUCAUACUAUGUAUCAUUUUGUCCACACUAUGAAUGCAGUUACAUAUACUACUCCCUCCGUCCCAAACUAUAAGACGUUUUGGCUUUUCUAGAUUCAUAGCUUUAGCUACGCACCUAGAUAUAAGUUAUGUCUAGAUACAUAGUAAACAUUAUGUGUCUAGAAAUGCCAAAAUGUCUUAUGAUUUGGAAAGGAGGGAGUAUUAGUUAUAUUGUGUCACUUGUAGGAGCAUAAUUUGCACGCAAAUAAUUGAUCAGAUCUGAACUGUAUCUCUUAUUUCUAAUGAUAAUAAGAUUCUUCUCUAUAGGGAAGUGCUGCCAAUAGGAUACUCUCAGUUCCUCCAAACUCUGAUGAACUUUUGUGGGUUCUUUGGGAACUCUGUGCCAUUUCAAGGUCAGUAUUGAAGAUAGUGUUACAUUUUGCAUAUGAACAGUUGUGUAAAAGAAUAACAAGAGGCUGCAAACUGAGAUUAUCUUCCAAUUUUGAGUCCAGUACCCUGCUCAAAUUUUUUUUUUUCUGACAAAAUUAUCUUUUCCACAAUAAUCAAUAAUAGAACACCACACUGAUAUUAUCUGGAUGUCCAGUGAUGCAUCGAUUUCUAGUUAAAUACCUGCAAAUUUUAUAUUUUUAACUAAGACUUAUAUCUAAAAUUGAAGAUGCCUAGUUAAUUUCUCUACACAAAGGUUUGCACUUCUGGAAAGGGAAAGAUUCUUGUUUCAAACGUCUUUAUUUGUAGACUUUUCAAUGACUCCAUACGAUUUUCACCACAUACCUUUGCACUUCUGGAAAGGGAAAGAUUCUUGUUUCCAACAUCUUUAUUUGUUGACAUUUCACUGACUCCAUAUGAUGUUCACCACAUAGGUUUACAUUGUGAUACAGGUCUGAUUCUGGUCGGCAAGCAUUAUUAGCUCUUGGGUAUUUUCCUGAGGUACACUCUGUUUGUCUACGUCUACUAUUCUCUUACGGAAGUUAUUGAGGGAAUUACCUGUGUGCCACUAAAAGACCUUGUUCACCCAUAUGUACUACAGAAAAAUCCUCCUCAUGUACCAUGGCGUCAAGUUUCUGUGUUUCCCUGUGCCACUACUGUCAAGUUUUGCCUACGUACUCCCCCUGUCCUGAAAUAUGAGGGAUUUUCUGUUGUCUUAGGUCAAACCAUACUAAGUUUGAUUGAGUUUGUAGAAAAGGACAAUUACAAUAUAUACAAUAUCAAAUGAACUUUCAUUAGAUAUAAUAUGAACUCUUUGAUGUGAUAGAUUUUAGUACUCUUCUUACAAACUUGGUCAAACACUCGAACUUAGAAUAGUUUGACUUAGGGAAACUGAAAAUCCAUGUUUUUUUUAGGACGGAGGGAGUAAUUGUUAAUCAUGUGUGUGGUAAAGAUUGUAUUAUGCUUUAGUUCAGUAAUAGGCUGCUUGUUUUCGUUCCCCAUGCCAUUCAAACAACAUACUACAGCCAAAGAAACACACAAAAAAAAGACGCUAGGGGGCGCUCCUUGGUGCAGAGACAACACAGCUACAGCACACACUGGUGGAACCAUCCAUUCCAUGGCUGUGCUUGGGUAUUGGGUUAUUCAAGACUUGGGAGAACCCGUUCACCACCUGUGGGGAUGAUUGCCCUGCUGCAAGCCAUCGUCGUCGGUCAGGCUCAGAUCAAGUAAAGCAGAUGAACAAAUAUGUACUCCCUCCAUACUCGUAAAGAAAGGGGCUGUUUAGUUCCUGAAAAAUUUUGCAAAGUUUUCAAGAUUCCCUGUCACAUCAAAUCUUGCGGCACAUGCAUGGAGCAUUAAAUAUAGAUAAAAAAUAACUAAUUGCAUAGUUUGCCUAUAAUUUGCGAGACAAAUCUUUUGAGCCUAGUUAGCCCAUGAUUGGACAAUAAAUGUCAAAUACAAACAAAAGUGCUACAGUAGCCAAAACCAAAAGUUUUCACCAACUAAACAAGGCCAAAGUCGUUUUGGACAAGGUUUGGGUCAAACAUUGGGAAUAUAAAUCAUGAAUAACUUUUAAGCUGUUGAGUUUGGAAAUAUGAAAACCAUAUGAAUAGAUUUGUCUUGAGAAAUACUUUCAUAAAAAUAUACAUAUACCACUUUUUGAUAAAUAUUUUUAUAAAAAUAAGGAGUCAAAGUUAGGCUUUGGAGACUGUGUCGUUGUCCUAAACGACUUUCUUUACGGGUAUGGAGGUAGUAUAUGGAAGAUGGAGAAGAGCAUGCUCACUGAAGCAGAUGAAGACUACCUGCAGCGGGAGGAUGAUGUGACAGACAAUGGUGAGGUACAUCAUGCGCAUAGGGUCCACAGGAUUGGGCCGCAUCUUGUUCAUGUUCCCCAGGGAUCUUUGGGCACAGGCACAGCAGCUUGUGGUCAUCAUCCCCUGCUCCCUCCACAGCAUUCGAGCUGUUCAUGAACGCACCGAUGCCACUGCAGCACUUGCUCUGUGGCGUUGGCAUCUGCUCAUUGCUUGAACGCGAACGGUACCACACCAGCACUCCUUGUUGUAGAUGCAGUUGGGGUGUCCGCAUGCAGUCUGUCGGUGAUGUGCUGCUGUGCUCAUCGGGGACCGUCAUUGCUGAGACAACAGACAUGUUGCAAGGCUAGGUGCCGACGAUGUGGGUACAUGCAUCGGCAAGGGCCUUGUGCCUGGGAUUCCGGUGGCGAGGCUCUGCUUCCUUGCCUGCUCUGGUCUCUCGUUGACCAGGGAAACAUAGCGUGUCAGCCUCGGAAAGACAGCUUGCCACUGUGGCCAUGGCUAUAACGAGGAUGAUAAUCUUGGCAUAGGGUCAGGGUCAACUCCAGUCAAGGAGAAGGGUUAUAUCUCCUUCAAGCAAGGGCAAAAUUGUCUGCUAAAGCAAAAAGUAACAGCACAAGUAGAACUAACGGGUGACAAGUAGGCAGAACUUGACAGUAUUGGCACUGGAAUGGAAAAUUGGAAGCUAUGGCACAUGAGUUAAGAUAUUUCUUUUUUUUUUAUUUUACAUAUGGGCGAGCAAGUUUUUUUAGUGGCACAUAGGGAAUUCUCUCAAAGUUAUUUGGGUUGUUGAGUGAUGUCAAUAUUUCUGUUGCAGGCGAUAUCAGUUCUACUGAGAUCUCUCUCUUCGUAUAAGGAUCUUGAUUCAGUCAUGGCUAAGAAUGGUUGAGAAUCUUCUGGAUCCUUCCAUUUGAUUUAGUGCUGUAUUCAUGAGCUUACAUGUCUUUGUCUCUGUCUAAUCUCAGGAGGGUCGCCAUUGGGUCUUGCAAUUUUCCAUUCAGCUGCAGAAAUUCUUGAAGUUUUGGUUGCGGAUUCAACUGCUUCAUCACUUAGAUCAUGGAUUGGGUUUGCUGUUGAUCUGCACAAGGCUCUGCAUUCAUCUUCUCCUGGUUCAAACAGGAAAGAUGCACCAACAAGGUUGCUUGAAUGGAUUGAUGCUGGUGUUGUUUAUCAGAGAAAUGGUGCUCGGGGCCUUCUUCGUUAUUCUGCUAUUCUCGCAUCUGGUGGAGAUGCUCAUCUUUCUUCAGGAAAUGUGCUUGUGUCAGAUUCAAUGGAUGUAGAAAAUGUAGUUGCAGAUUCAAAUAGUAGCUCAGAUGGUCUGGUCAUUGAUAAUCUUCUUGGUAAACUUGUUGCGGAUAAGUAUUUUGAUGGAGUUGCCCUAUGCAGCACUUCUGUGGUCCAAUUAACAACCGCUUUCCGUAUCUUGGCAUUUAUUUCGGAUGAUAAGGUAAGAAACUCAUGCUCAGGAAAAACCCAUUUAUUCAUGACUUAUAGUUCGCGAUGACAUGCUUACCUUUUUGCUAUCUGCAAAGGCCGUGGCGUCAUCCCUUUUUGAAGAAGGCGCCAUAACUGUUAUAUACAUAGUCCUGAUGAACUGCAAGUCUAUGCUUGAGCGUAUAUCAAAUAGUUAUGGUGAGGGCAACAUGUUUUAUAUUUUUGUACUGUGACAUGGAAUUUGUGACAGCAGUAUAUCUUUAAAUUCUUGUAUUCAUGAAUCUUUGUGUGCUCUUUUUUGUCCUAAAACUUCAAAAUUAUUCUUCAGAUUACCUUGUUGAUGAAGGGGCUGAACUGAGUUCUACCACGGAAUUACUUCUAGAUCGAACUCAUGAGCAAGCUAUUGUUGACCUCAUGAUUCCCUCACUUGUCUUGUUGAUAAAUCUCCUUCAUAUAUUACGUGUAAGCUGCACUUCCUAUUCUCUGUGACACGAUCAACAUGGAUAUAUCGUAUGCGUAUGAGCACAACAAUUGUUUCAAACUGAUUUUGUGCUUUGUUUUUUUGGGUUAUCUUUUCAUUGCAGGAAACAAAAGAACAAUACCGCAACAAAAAACUUCUUAGUUCUCUUCUGCAGUUGCAUCGAGAAGUUAGGUUGUGCAUAUCACGUUCCAUUUUAUACCUCCUACCCUUCCCUCUCAAUCUCUGUCUAACAAUGUCUGCAAUUCUAUUCUUGCAGCCCGAGGCUAGCAGCUUGUGCUGCAGAUUUGUCCUUCAUGUUUCCUACUUUUGCUAUCGGUUUUGGUGUUGUUUGCCAUCUUAUCACGUCAGCACUUGCUUGCUGGCCGUUGUAUAAUUGGGCACCUGGUCUGUUUCAUUGCCUUCUUGAAAAUAUCGAGGCUACUAAUGCGUCCGUACCAUUGGGCCCAAAGGCUGCUAUUAGUCUGCUUUGUCUUCUGGUAAGCAUUUUGGCCACUUUUCCACCUCUGGGACUGAGGAUUGGAGAACGAAUGGACCAUCCAAUCCUAAGUAGGACCUAAAGCUAUUGUUUUGGUUUGUGGAAGAAUAUAUGCUCCGUCACCAUAUCAUCCUUAGUAAGCUUCAACCAAUAUCGUGGGUUGUGGCACAUGUCCUCAAACCUAAUAUCUAUUUUGAGAUGACUAUAGAUUCCCUUUUCUUUUUCCCUCUGUUCUAAAUUAUUGUUCACUUUAGCUUUGUCCUAAGACAAACUUCUCUUUGACCAUUUUUUGGAAAAAUAUAUUAACAUCUACAAGUUCGAGUGAAUGCAUUAUCAAGACAUAUUUCAAAGGGAAUCUAUCUAAUGAAACUAAUUUGCUACUAUAGAUGUUGGUACAUUCUAUAAAUUGGUGAAGAAAUUUGACUUAGUAGAAAGCUAAACUGAACUAUGAUUUGGAGCAGAGGAAGUAGUAUUGAUGCCAUCUUUAUAGUUUUUCUCUACUGCUGUUCUCAUAUCUUGUGUGCAUUGUAAGGGUGAUCUAUUCCCAGAUGAAGGCAUAUGGCUAUGGAAAGUUGAACUUCCUUCUCUGAGUGCCAUUAGAUCUUUGAGUACUGGAACAGUGCUAGGGCCUCAAGUGGAGAAAGAUGUGAAUUGGUACCUGCAUCCUGAACAUGUGGCCAUAUUACUUGUGAGGCUGAUGCCACAACUUGAUAGACUUGCUCGUAUCAUUGAUAACUUUGCUACUUCGGUAUGUACUGCUCUGAUUUCUUUUGCUUAUCAUAUCAUAUCACUCUGAAGCAAUGGCUUCUUUUCUUUAUCAAUUUUUACAUAAAUCAUCGUAUAUUGCAGGCGUUGAUGGUCAUACAGGAUAUGCUUCGUGUUUUCAUUGUUCGUGUUGCCUCAGAAAAGAUUGAGUGUGCAGUUGUUCUUCUACGCCCUAUAUUUAUAUGGUUAGAUGAUAAAGUUGACAAAACUUCCCUGUCAGAGAGAGAGAUCUUUAAGGUAUGAGAAUGUGGAGUGAUUAUACUCGCAUAAUAUAUGUGCCAUCACUUUAAUUUGGUGAUGUAAAUGCAUUACUGUUGGAAUUCUUGGAGUUAGGGGUGGGCAUUUACCACAUGAGAAAUACAAUUCAUUGUUUAACAAGUUCUUGAAGGCCAGCUAUUUUUUUUGUAUGAUUGUAUGAUUUUGUUGCAUUUUCCCCCUUUUUUAGCAAGGUCAAUGUUAGAGCUUGCCUAUAUGCUGAUGCAAGCAUUUCUUUUAGGCACAACUCACUUAUCUAUUGGUGUCUUCUGAGUUUCACCUAAAUUGGUUAGGUUCCUGGAACAGGGAUCAAUCCAAAGCCUUGUUCUGGUUUCUCCUUUUUGUCUGGAUGCUUUGGUUUGCUUUUCUUAUUUUUUUUCCCCUUUAUGUGCUUGAACAUACUAAACAAUCAGUUCCGCUGGGAUAACCCACAAAAGACCUUGCUGCUUGCCACUGUGGUGCUGGCGUGUCCUGAAAAUUUGGUAGAUUCUGUUUCAGAACUAAUUUUCUUAAUUGGGCCAACCCUUGACAGGGUAGCAUAUAGAGUUGCCAUACAUGGGCCUAACCUCAUGGGCCUAUAAUACACAUACUCUAACACUCCCCCGCAAUCUGAACUGCCGGCGCAGCGGAGUUUGCAGUCUGGACACAAAAAGAAGUACAACACACGAGCCCCCCACAGACGCAACUAGCCACUGGUGAUGUUGAGGUUGGAGCGGAACUCGGUGAAGGUUGAGGACGGGAGACCCUUGGUGAAGAUGACGGCGAACUGGGAGGUGGUCAGGAUGUGGAGGACCCGAACAUCGCCGAUGACGACCCGAUCUCGGACGAAGUGUAGAUGGAUCUCCACAUGCUUGGUCCUCUGGUGUUGAACCGGGUUGGUGGAGAGGUACACCGCACUAACGUUGUCGCAGUAGACCAGUGCGCUCCGUGAGAGAGGGCUAUGGAGCUCGGCAAGGAAGCCUUAGCCACGCCGUUAGCCACGCCGUUAGCAACAACGUGGUAUUCUGCCUCGGCAUUGGAGCGUGAGACGACCGGCUGGCGCUUGGACGACCAUGACACCAGGUUGCCGCCUAGGAAGGCGGCGUAGCCGGAGGUGGAGCGGCGAGUGUCCGGACACCCGACCCAGUCGGCGUCAGUGUAGACGACGAGCUCGGUGGAGGCCGACCGUCGGUGAAGGAGGAGACUGAAGUUGACGGUGCCGCGGAGGUAGCGAAGGAUCCGCUUGAGAGCGGUGAGGUGUGGCUCUCGGGGAUCAUGCAUAUGGAGACAUUUGCUGAACUGCAUAGGUGAUGUCAGGUCGGAUGAAGGUGAGGUACUGAAGUGCACCGGCAAGACUCCGGUAUGCAGUGGGAUCUGUCACCGGGGUAUCCUCAGCACAAGUCAGUCAUCCCAGCUCGCUCCAGGAUAUCAAGAGUGUACUGCCGCUGGUGAAGGAGUAACCCGACAGGAUGAGGCUCAACAGUGACCCCGAGGAAGUGGUGUAGCUGACCCAGAUCCUUCAUAGCAAACUCCUGCUGAAGUGAGGCUAUGAUCCGGUGAAGGACUCACUGGAGGCUGUGAGGACAAUGUCAUCGACAUAGAGCAGCAGGUAUGCAGUCUUAGCGCCAUGGUGAUAGAUGAACAGAGAAGUGUCUGACUUGGAAGGCAGCAAACCGAUGGUUCCACGCCCAGGGGGCCUGCUUGAGGCCGUAGAGAGAUUUGUUGAACCGACACACCAUGUCGGGACGAGAAGAGUCAACAAACCCCACCGGCUGGCUGCAGUAGACUGUCUUAGUGAGAACGCCAUGCAGGAAUGUAUUCUUGACGUCCAGCUGAUGCACGGGCCACCCGCGAGUGAGAGCCGGCGAGAGGACCGUGCGAGUGUCCCCGGGGUGGGAUGGGCAACCGGCGAGCGGGGGCACGGCCCCGGCGAGGGGCAUGGCGUAGCAGUACCUGCAUGAAACACCGGCAAAGGUGGCUCGACCACCGGGUCAGUGGGAACAGGGAGGAAAGGUCAAGGUCCAAGGUGGGGGCGGAAGUGGUGGUGGUGGAAAAGGGGAAGACAGACUCAUCGAACAUCACAUGGCGAGAGAUGAGAUGCGUUGUGAGGUAAGGUCGUAGCAUCGGUACCCCUUGUGAUCUGGGGAGUACACGAGAAAGACACAGAGGGUCGAAUGGGAGCCAGCUUGUGUGGAGCGGUGGCGGUGGUGUUCAGGUAACACGCACACCCGAAGACCCGAAGGUGAUUGUAGCGAGGAGGGGUACCAAAGAGAGCGUGGGGUGGCGUGGGAGCUGGACAGGCAGCGGAAGGAAGGCGGUUAAGGAGGUAGGUGGAGGUGUGCAAGCCCUCAGCCCAAAAGCGAGCAGGAAGCGAGGCUUGAAGGAGAAGAGUGUGCACGGUGUCGAUGGUGGUGCGAAUCAUGCGCUUAGCCUUGCCGUUCUGAGAGGAGGUAUACGGGCAAGACAUGCGCAACUGGACACCGUGAGAGAGGAAGAAGGCACGGGAGGUGGAGUUUUCGAACUCCCGACCAUUGUCACACUGGACUGCCUUGAUGGUGAGGCUGAACUGUGUGGACGCCCAAGCGAAAAAGUGGAGGGUCAUGGGGAAAGCAUGACUUUGCACGUAAAGGAAAAGUUCAGGAAUAAUGCGAAUAAUCAUCAACCACCACAAGAUAGUACUUGUAUCCAGAAAUAUUGAUGACAGGAGAUGUCCAUAAAUCGCAAUGUACAAGGUCAAAAAAGUGGGGCACAUGAGAAGAACUAUGAAAAGGAAGAUGAACAUGACGGCCUAGUUGGCAUGCAUGACACAAAUGCUCAUCGUGUGGCCGAGUACAUCGAAUAUCAGAACUACGACUGAGCUGCAUCAGGGCAUCACGUCCAGGAUGCCCGAGGCGCCGGUACCAAGUAGUGGAAGAAGUAGUGGUGGCGAAGGCAACUGACAAAACAGACGAAGAAGGCGAGGCAGAUGCCAGAAAGCGAAGAGUGUAAAGGGGCCCUGUGCUGUCACAUCGGUGCAGAGGACGCCUGGAAGCCAAAUCCUUCACAGUAAGACCAGAGGAGUCAAACUCUACAGAACAGGAAUUGGUAAAAUGACGAAUUGAAAGAAGGUUGUGAACCAUAGAAGGUGCAACAAGAACGCCAGGAAGACGAAAGGAGCCAUGGGGGCAGGCGGCACCCACAAAUGUGAUAGGAAGACACGACCCAUUAGCGACCAUAAUGGACGAAGGAAGAGAGGAAGACGGAGGGUGAACAGAAGAAAGUAUACCAGGGUUAGGAGUGGUAUGGUAAGUAGCCCCAGAAUCGGCGACCCACUCCGGCCCAACAGGGGGCGUCAGGGCCAUGGUGCUGAAGGAGUUGGCCAAGGCUGCCUGGUCCCAACCGGUCGGCCCAAGCGAGGUGCCGGGUGGAGGAGCCCACGUAGACGCGGAGUACGCGCUGAGGACCGCCGCCCACGAGGUCGCUAAGGGGAACCCCGGGGGAGCACUGGCGAGCAUGGCCGCUGGCGGGCGAGGCUCCCCACCGGUGGUCUGGAACGACCACAUGGAGAUGCGCCCUGACCAUGGGUUGUGGAAAGAUGGCCAGGGUGCACCCCGUGGAGUUGGCGGCGUCGUGUUGCCCCCACGACCUGCUCCACGUCCCUUGCCACGGUGACGGCGGCCGCCAUGGCCCCCCACACCCCUGCUCGGCCCGGGAGGGAGAGGACCAAGAAGUGACGACGGUGGUGGCGGGGCCGGACGAGGCGGAGUAGCAGUGAGAGCAGUCGAGGAGGACGAGGACCCCGACACGGAGGUGGACUUAGGCUGGAGGCGCUGAGUAAGCUCCUCCAUGGCAAGGUCAUCAAGGACCUGCCGAAAGGUGGGGAAGGGCCGCUGCCGGGUGAUCCACGUCUGGAAGUAGGCGUAGCGAUCACUGAGCCCGCGGAGGACAUUGAGAACCAGGAUACGGUCCUCCACGGACCAGCCGAGGUCGCCGAGAGAGUCCGCCAUGACCUUCAUCUGGCGGCAGAACUCGCUGACGGAGAGGUCGCCUUGGACGAAGGUACGGAAGCUCGCGUCGAGUCGCAGAGCUCGGGCCUCGACGUUGCCUAGAAAUUGGCCCUCGAGCGCCAGCUGGGCCCCGCGUGCGCUCGAGUGUUGCGGACGAGGUGGUGGAGGUCGAGGGAGAUCGUCCCGAGGAUCCAGGAGAGGACAAUGCUGUCGAGACGCAGCGACGCGGGGGUCUGGACCGCGACCGAGGCGUCGAGGAGGAUGUGGUCGUCGAGUGCGUAGCGGCGGAGUGUGAGGAAGACCAGGUCCCGCGAGCGGGCGUAGGAGGGCGACUCAGGCUCGAGGACGACCGGAACGAGGAGGCGGAUGUUCUGGACACCCCCGGCCUGGUAGUGGAGUUGCGCCACGAACAGGUCGGCCGGAUCGUGCCAGAGGACCGCGGUGUGAGACACGCGAGGACCGGCCGUACCUGAGGACGUGGCCCUGACGUCGGUCGAGGCAGGGAGGCUGAGGAACUGCUCCGCUUUGGCGAUCUGGCGGGCCAGGGCAUCGGCCGCAUCGCGCUUGCGCUCCCAAGUGUGGGCGGCCUCAUGCACGCGAGCCCGGCCCUCCGCAGCCGCAACACGAGCAGUGACGAGAGCGGAGUCAGGACGAUGGGACGCGGGCGGUGGAGGCGGGGCGGGGAAGGGGGCCGCAGCCGGGAGCAGUCCACCCGCGCCCGCGACAGAGCAGCCACACUUGUGCUUGCGGCUAGAUCAGGCCCGGCCAGCGCCCCGGGCAGGGCAGGCCCCCUAGGUAGAGCUCCUGCGCUCUUGGCAGGGCAGGCCCAGCCACAGGCAUGCCGAGGCCUGCCGUGACGGCGGCGGCGACAGCUCUGGCGUACGCAGCGGCGAUGUCGGGCGCAUCCUCUGCUCUGACGCUGAGUGGAGCCGUAUCCGCGUCCGCUCCCACAACCGCGGCCGCGGGAUCCUUUGCAGCGCCCGCUGGGCCUGUGCGCGCAGCCAGAACGGCAGCCGCGCCGACGGCCAGGGCGGCGGCGGCGCCGGCAGAAGUGGAGGUGGUGGUGCGGGUCUGGGCGGCGCUGUACGCGUGAUUUGCGCCCAAGUUGAGAUGGGGAGGGGAGGGAAAGAGGUGAAAUAGUUGGGAGGAGGAGAAGUCCAGACGGCCUUGGUUGCCGGCGGUGGGCGGCGGCGGCGGCUGGAUUGGGCAGGGAAGAAACCCUAGGCUGCUGAUACCAUGUUUCAGAACUAAUUUUCUUAAUUGGGCCAACCCUAGACAGGGUAGCAUAUAGAGUUGCCAUACAUGGGCCUAUAAUACACAUACUCUAACAGAUUCUGGCAUGAAUCUCCUGCCUGCAUUUUGAGAAGUUUCUGUUCUGAACUGUAUGGCACAUUCCUAGAUGUGCUCUCUUGAAUCGUCUUUCGAAAUCGAUCAAGCAUCAAACUUCAGAAAAUUCUAUUUGUGUGCCAAUUUGACAAUGAAGCAUGUAACACUCGGUUAUUUUCUUGGCAUCAUAGAACGGUUGAAGGAGCCUCUUUUCUAUUUUUCCUCAAAUUCAGUUGUCAUCAUUUAUUUGGUAAAAACUCAGCAUUGGCAACCUGAAGUUCUUUAUGCGUUUUCCAGGUGCAUCAGUUGCUUCAGUUUACUGUAAAAUUGUCUGAGCAUCCUACUGGCAAGGUGAGAGGUUCUUUGCUAUCUAUGAUUCUUGGAAGCUGUUUCUCUCGUGGUCCCUUCUCAUUUGUCUUAAUUCAGGUAUUGCUUUGGAGGAUGGAAUUCACAAGGAUUCUUCGAAAGUUACUACAGAAUUGUAGCCGAUCAUCUUUUUCAGAUGAUAAUCAGACUUUUGGAAGGGCGCCCUCUAAGAAUGACCUCAUGCUCAAAUGGAGGAUCCCUUUAUUUAAAUCUAUUGCAUGUGUCUUUAGUAUCGAUACGUCUAAUAAUGAGAAGGCUGUUAUUGAAGAGUAAGCACACAAUCAUGUCGUUAUUUGUUUAGAAACAUAUUUCUUAUUUAUGUACUAAAACUAAUGUUUUUCCAUCCAACAAGGUCCCUGAAUGAGAAAUCUGUUCAUGAAUGCUCUUCUGUCAUGCAACACCUUGUGAUGUUCUGCCAGGUACAUUUCUUUUAGUUUGUUUAUCAUUAGUCUAUUAUUGUGGAAACAUGGGUUUUGAUGCGUAUUAAAACACUAUUCAAAAUAUUUUACUUGUUUAUUUGAUCCCCAAGCUUCGCUUCUUGAUGUCAAUAUUGUCAUGUUCUCAAGUUAUCCUGCUCUGAAGGAAUUAGAUAUGAUUUGAGAUGACCCUGUGUGUUUUGAUUUGGCCUGAGAGGUGGCAAUUAGAACAGACAAUUAGGCACUUGUUGGUUCCACAUGAAAUUACAUCAUAAUUUUUUGUAAUGUUGGGCCACAUGGUAAUAAUGGUGAGAACUUCUGGAGCUUUCAAUUGUGUUUUGAGUCACCUAGUUUAUAUGGCAAAUACUUGUAGCCUUGUAGGAGGGUAGGUGCUGGGAUUUUGGCACACUAAUACAUUUGGCAUGGAAAACCUCAAAAAUCAGCUAAGGAAACCGUGAAGGUGUUGACCUGGGAUGCUGAAAUUUUUUUGAAAUAUCUGCUGAGUGCUGACUGUUGCUUUUCUGAUUUUCUUCUGUGCCAAGGUUUUACAGACCUUAUUAUUGAAACUGUAAUUCCCUUUGAGUCCAAAGUAAUGUAUGCAAUCAUCUUAAGAUAUCCCAGUACAUGCAUAAAUUUUGGUGUACAAACUUAUGUUUAUUCAGAUUUCGGAAUAAGAAAUACCUGAAUGAAAGAGAUAUGAACUUUAGAAAUUUAAUUAUUUACCGUACUGCAUAUUGUCCUUUUUUAAUGUCCUUAAUGCUGUGGGAAAAUAAUAGUAUGUUGGAGAAGUUAACAAUUGGAAAUUAUACUCAUUUUGAUAAAACACUAUGGAGAAGUUUUAAAAAAGAUCUAAAAAAACUUCAGCAAUAAAUGAGGCAGAAAAUACAAAUAAUAGGUGUGACAGUGUAAACAUUGAACAGUAGAUUUGCUCUAUUGCACUUUCAUUUCUUCUUUCUUUUUUGUAUCUGACAGAUGGGAUUAUAUUUGUUCUUGAGUGUUAUAUGGAUGCUGAACAUUCUCUUGCCUGUAGCUGAGAUGUCUUUGAGCAUAUUUGAAAACUUGUUAGUUUGUUUCCACCUGAAGUACUACUUCCUAAUGUAUUCAUCACUGUUUUAACUGAAUCGUGUAAUAUGCCACUCUAAAUUUGAAAUCAUUAACAAGCUAUAUCUUUAUUAAAAAAAUUAACAUCAUUCUUAUAUCUUCGUUCAAAUUUAGUUUAUCUUAUUUCUGUGAUUCAUAAUGUUUACCGUGUUAUAAUAUAAAUACCCCAGGUUUUGCCUGUUGGACGGGAAAUGUUAGCAUGUUCGUUGGCGUUCAAGGAAUUGGCUGCUUCUUAUACCUGUAGAAGUGCAGUAACUUUGAUAUUGUCACAAAUACAUACUUCCAACAAAGAUGUUCUUGAAAAAGAUGAGAGUGACCCUAACCAUAACUUGCCAACUCUGGAUGGUUGGAAUUGCUUUUCCUCAUUGUUCAAUUGCUGGAAGAAGCUUGCAAAAUAUAUUGGUUCUAAUCAACCAACGGAUUAUUUAGUAGAAACUAUUUAUUCCUUGACACUAGGUGCUAUCACCCUCAGCCAGUAUGGUGAAAAGUAAGUGUUGCAUCCUCUAAUUCCUUUUAAAUGUUUCAAUAGCAUUUAAUCCACAGAAGAUUGUAUAGAGGUAUUAUUUGCAGUUAUAUGUUGUCAAUGUUCAUUUGGUGAGGCCAUUUUAUUUAGCACACUUGCCUUUUGCUGUCUCUUUCUGUUUGUUGAGGUAGUCAACAUAUGCUAAUUUCUACAGAAUUGUGUAUAUUGUGUUUACCUUGUGCCGUGUCUGUGGGUCAUGCAUGUUUGGGGAAUGGGGGAGAUAGCCAUCUCCAUACACCCACAAUCCAUGUUGGAUCCUAUUAUCUAUACAUAUGGGUAUAAGACCAUCCAUUAGGAUCCUGAGCUGUCAGAUUCCAUGCUGUCACAUCAUGCAUGCAUGGCCCAGCCUUCUCCAUUUCCAUUUCCAUUUCCAUUUCCUUGUUUAGUUCCAAAAUAUUUUGCAAAAUCGACACUGUAGCUUUUUCGUUUGUAUUUGACAAAUAUUAUCCAAUCAUAGACUAACUAGGCUCAAAAGAUUCGUCUCGUUAAUUUCGAUCAAACUGUGCAAUUAGUUUUUAUUUUUGUCUAUAUCUAAUACUUCAUGCAUGUGUCUAAAGAUUCGAUGUGACGGGGAAUCUGAAAAAUUUUGCAAAUUUUUUUGGGAACUAAACAAGGCCAUAAUUUUCUUCAUUUCUUAUUUUUCCAUUUAUUGCUCUUCUUGAAUCAUGUACUCAUUAUUGGUAUAAUUUAUCCACUUACCCUGCUCUCAAAGUUAAAACUCUUAGUGUGCCUGCUGUUUCUGGUCCAUCCUAUCCGAUGCCCUCACUCCUGCAUUCACUGUGAAUCCUCCUACUAAAAAAAUGCAUGAGUUUCUUCUAUUCCAUUGUACAUUAGUCUGCAUUUUAGUGGUCUGCUUUGAUUUAAUCCUUGGCAUUUGUGUUCACUGGAAAGUUCAGAGAUCUUUUCAAUUGCCUGUGAUGCGCGCACAGGAUAGUGAAGAAGUAAUACCUAUUUUAAUUUUAAUUUUAAUUGCAUGUGAUUUGUUCGCAGAGCAAGUAACGCUAUAUACUUGUUUUAAUAUCUUUAAACAAACUUGUUGUAUUCACAGUGAAUUUUUAACAUGAUUGGGUAUUUAGCUGAUUCCUGUGCUAUUUGUGUUGGCUUGCAAUUUGUUUCUUUUUGUAUAUUUAGGGUUCAUAUCAGAGUAAAUCUUAAUUGACUUUUAAUUAUUGUCUUGCUGUUGUAGUCUCGAGGGUCUGUUAAUAUUGAGGUAUCUAUUUGGGCUCCCUUCUGAUCCUAGUGGUUCCUUGGAAUCAUCUGGCGAGAGUCCAAGUGAGAUUGAGUUAUUCAUGAAGACAUCUGAAGAGAAGAUAUGCCAGAGCUUUGAAAAUUCAACGACUGUUGAUGGAAAGACUCUUUUACACAAGGUAUAUAGCUUCAUUACUAUGUUAGAAUAUUUUUGCUCUACUGUCCUGUUUCUAAUAUUGAUGUCAAUUCACAGCUAUUGAAUUCGAUCACAUUACUACGCUCAAUUCUUGAGAAUUCUGGGCAAUCCGCAGAUUCAGUUCAGAUGGUUAUUCAAGAAGGCACUGACUCACUGUCAGAAAUUGCUCACUCUGUUGUUAUGACAGCUGAUCUGAUGCCAUCCCUAGCCAAUGUGUCAGUAAAGGAUGAAUCGCCUUUUCUCUUCUCUAAUGUGUGGAAGGUUAUUGUUGAUUCAGAAGAGCCUCUUGACUGCCAAGAGGGUGAAUUUGCAAAGAGACUAGUUUGGGAGUUGCCUGAUUCUUCUCUUGAUAGACAACUAACACCUGGCCAAUCUGCCAGGAGGAAAUUAGCACUGGGAGAGAGUGCAAGUAGGCGUGUAAGGGAUAAUCAACUGCCUGAACCCACUGGACAGUUCUCGCGAGGUUUAAAUACAACCAAUGCUUCUUCAGGACAUACACGAAGAGACACUUUCCGUCAGCGGAAACCUAACACAAGUAGACCGCCUUCAAUGCAUGUAGAUGACUAUGUUGCAAGAGAGAGAAACAUAGAUGGUGCAAGUAGUGCGUCAAAUAUUGUGAACUCUACUCCACGGGGAACGCUUAGUGGAAGGCCUCCAUCCAUUCAUGUUGAUGAAUUUAUGGCAAGGCAGAGAGAACGUCAAAAUCCUGUGCCGGCCCCAACAGGAGAUGCACCUCAACCUAAAAGUCAGACAGCAAGUUUAGAUGGCAGUCUUCGUACUAAGCCAGAGAACUUGCGUCAACCCAAGACUGAUCUCGAUGAUGAUCAAGAAAUUGAAAUUGUUUUUGAUGAGGAAUCAGGUUCAGAUGAUAAACUUCCUUUCCCUCAACCAGAUGAUAGUCUCCAAUCACCACCUGUCAUUAUUGGGGAAAAUUCUCCUGGCCCUGUCAUUGAGACAGAAAAUCAGGAGAAUGAAAGAAUUCCCUUUUCCCAGAGGGCCACAUCACUCCCAAAGGAUGAUGAAAGUCCUGGCGUUGACAUUUCUUCCCAGACUGCAAUGCUUUCAGAACCUAACAAUUCUUUGGAACUGAAAUAUUCAGUUUCUAGCCCAGGGAAGAAUUCUUUUCGUGAUCAUGCUGAAAAGUCUAAUUAUCCUUCUAUUGGUGUGUCUGGGAGAUCAUCUGUACAAGCAGAUCAUCAACAUUUAUCUCGUAGACAUGAAAAGAGAAGUCCACGAAAAUAUUCUGAGACUUCUCUAUCAAGUGGAUCCCAUGGGCAUGAGCAUAGACAUUCCAAUAACCAUCCACCUCUGCCACCAAUGCCACCUCCGAUUUCAUCGGUGCCCAUGCAAAAUACUGAUUCAGCUAAUAGGCAGUCAUCUUCCUUCAGUGCUAGAGAUCGACCAACACCUAGUCUUUCUGGUUAUCCUACACAAUCUUUUGACUCUAGUAUGCCUAGUGCUUUCACAGGCCUUCAGGUAAUUUAACAUAGGAAAGCUUUAGUUAUGCAACUUCUUUUCUGUUUUUAUCUGUUAAUUCAGCUUUUGAAAUGUGAACUUGCUUUUGUAGGGUCAAACUCAAUAUAUGCUUGCAGGCGCUGGCGGUUCAUCAGCGAAUGAUUUACCCAAUGCAGAGGCCAAGCUUCUAUGGAACACAUUUCCAGUAAAUAGGAUCCCUCUGGAGACCUUCAGCUCAGGUUUAUCUGCUCGUCCGAUGCCACCCCUUACACCUUAUUCAGCUGUUGCUACUCAACAUGCUCCGAUGAGCUCUAGCUCUCCAGCAACCCUGUAUAACCAAGGGAGUGUUGUCCAGCCUUCUCCAACUGCUUCUAUUAUUAGUGAUUCAAAUCUAGCCAUGAACUCGAAUCUGCUGCCAUCAUUUGCAUCACAAUUUCUGAUGGGCAGGCCUUCAAUGCCGACUCCGUUUUUUGGCACGCCUCUCCAACAGGUUCAAUUCUCAUCUGGUCUUCCACAAAAUAUUUCUAACUCGCAGCCUUCUGUCUCCUCAGUACAACCACGGCCACCCCCACCCCCACCCCCACCACAGCAGCCACAUCCUUCUCAGACACUUCAACAACUUGGUGCUAUCCAAUUACCACACCAAGAUCAGCAGCUGCCAUAUCCCCAGAGUGCUAUCUUGCCACAAGUUCCAUUGCAAUUUCCUAACCAGCUACCCAUUCCUCAACUACAAUUGUAUCAUCAAAGCCAGCAGGAAUCUGGGCAAACACUGAGGCAAGUUGGCGAACAAUCACAGCUUCAGAACCAGGGUAUGCAAGCUGAUAGUUUCUCACAACAGCAGCAAGACUCAGGGAUCAACUUAAAUCAGUUCUUUUCAUCUCCAGAAGCCAUUCAGGUAACAUUUAAAUUUGUUUUUAUGAAACUACAUUUUGGGAUGAACUUAAUGCCAAGGAGACUAAUAGUCAUAACUUUUAAUUCUUGCAGAGUCUACUUAGUGAUCGUGAGAAGCUCUGCCAACUUUUAGAGCAGAAUCCAAAACUCAUGCAAAUGCUCCAGGUAAAAUCUUGUGUAAUGUAAUUCAAGUAGUCUUGAUCCGCUGGAAACUUCUUUAUGCUGAGUUUGAUUGCACCUGCAUUUGGGCACCUAGAGGAUCGGAUUGAUUGUAUGUGUACCGUUUAUUCUCAAACUGUGAUGCCUAUUGAUUUGAGAUUUUCUUUUCUUGCAUUGCUAACAGGAUCGCAUUGGCCAGUUGUAGCCGCCACUGGAGGUGCUAUUGUGAGUGAAAUCUGAUGCUGGGUCUAUUGCUAGGUUCCUAGAGUCUGGUGGUGUUUCGUUUUUGGCUAUGGAUGUAGCUAGAUGAAAUCAACUGCUGGCUUGCUAUUGCAGCAAUAGUAUUGCUAGUCGCUGAAAUGUAUUCCUAUGUACAUUAUCUGUAACUUUGUUCUGUGUAAUGUCAAUAUUUGUAAUAUUAGUGCGUAUCUAAUUUAUCGUUUUAAGUUUAUCUUUAGUGGUUAGAUCAUGUGACGUGCGCAGCGACGGGAAAAAAAUGACGCUCGUAGUCACUCUAGUCAGCAAUGGUUUUUGACUAACUACUUGUAGAGUUCUGAAUAUCCUGUUGUGGUCGUGUGUAUUUGGUUGCUUUAAUGCUCGAAAAUGAAUGCCCUCCAAGGGUAUUGAUUCGGAUGCAAAUCAUCGGCAAUCCUACGCAUCCGUUCCUGAUAAAUAAAAAUCAAUAUUAGAGGGAAGAAAGGUCUACUUAGAAACAGUUUUUACGCAACGGUCUGUUUCAGUGGUUUUGGAUGUGCUGUGAGCCUGUGACCCAUCUCUUGCCUUGAUUGAUGCAGACCUUCACCCAUUAAUAAUAAUAAUAAUAAUAUAAUGCCUCCAAGGCUCCUACACAUGCAAAUAGGGGUCCAAUUUCUAGUAUGAUUCUACAUUCAAGUCGUAAUAAAAUUACAAAUUCUAAUAGUAUGACUAUUACGACCUGUACCUGUACUUUACAGCAUCAGAGUCCGUCUAAACAUUCCUUUUUCCCCCCUCCGGAGCCAUUUAACAAGUAUAAACCUAAAUUAUAUAUAUGUAGGUUUAACAAGCAUAAACCUAAAUAAAAUCUAUAGCUAAGAUAUGAUCCAAUAAGUAUAAAAUUUUUACUACUCCCUCCGUCCCAAAUUACAAAUUAUAAGUCAUUCCAAGAAUCUUGGAGAGUCAAAGUUUUUUAAGUUUGACCAAAUUUAUAUAGCAAAAUAAUAACAUUUUUUGUACCAAUCAAGUAUCAUUAGAUUCUUUGUUAGUUAUAUUUUCAUAGUGUACCUAUUUUAUGACAUAAAUCUUUAUAUUUCUCUCUAUAUUUUUGGUCAAACUUGAAAAUGUUUUGACUCUCCAAGAUUCUUGGAAUGACUUAUAAUUUGGAACGGAGGGAGUAUAAUUUAAGCAUACAGUAUUUAGUCCAUAAAAAUUUCACCACAUUAGACCAUAGAAACCACACCUAUAAAUUAUUCUAAUUAAUUAUAGAAAAAUAGAUCUAAAGUCACAGCACAAACUAAAGCAUAUUAUAUUAUAUGUUCACUAUAUUAUAAAAAUUCUAGUAUAUUUUAUUAAGACUUAUUUUUAUCAUUAGAGAUACUUUACUAAUGAUUUAUUUAUUUUAUAAUUUACAAAUAAAUUGAAUAAAACGAACAGUCAAACAUGAUGUCUAAAAAUAAAAAACGUCACUCCUAUUUGGGACGGAGGGAGUACAUAGUGAAAAACUAUUAAAAUGCUACUCGCUACAAAUUAUAUUUUAUUUUGAUUUUAUCUUAAAAAAUACACAUCAUUUACAGCGCCAAUUCAAUUUCAGUGUAUUCUCCACAAAAUAUGUUUUAAUCGUCAUUUAAUUCAGCUUGUAGAAAUUAAUAUAUAUUUUUUAAAAACUGCUAAAAUUAAAGAAAUUUAUUUUUUUAAGAAUUAUACAGUACAAGAUAAAAUACACAUACAAUCACUCUAUGAAUACACAUACCUAAACUCUACCCGAGCAUCUUUGGAAAACUGAACCGGCACAUUUUGACAUUCACGGAAAGCCAAAGAGAACCCAAGCAGCGAAUGGAGAACCCCGGCAGUGGAUCCGAUUAGAGCUUGGUGUGGUCAUGGCACACCUGGCUCUGGACUUUCAUCUCUGGUACGCCGAAGAUGACGUGGCAGUCAGAGUAGGCCACCGCCGGCAGCUUGAGCACCCCGAAGAUGGCGACCUUCCCGGGCACCCUGGCGCUGGCGUCCAGCGGCACCGCGCCGGCCUCCAUGUCCUUGACCAGCUGCGUGAGCUCGGCGCCGAAGCUGCCGGACAGCACGGUCAUCACCAGCUCCAUGGUGCCGUCGCCCUUGCUGGGGAUGCGGCCGGGGUCGACGCCGGCGACGCCGACCAGGACGCCCCGGUACCAGAGCUGCGCGGCACCCGAGGCGUACGAGAAGGACGCCGGGUUCGGGUUGUGCACGUCCACGGCGAGCUCCAUGGUGAGGUUGAACUGCAAGUCCGGGCCGGGACCCGGCGCGAAGCCGAUGACCCGCGACGAGACGAGCCGCGUGGUGGGGUCGCGGACGCGGAGCACCGUGAGGAAGAGCACCAGGAGCGUGAUGCCCAGGAGCAGGGCGGCGCCCAGGGAGACGAGGAGGCAGACGCAGGCGCAGCGGCGCCGGCGCCGGCGGCGGAGCUCGCUGUCGGCUUGGCCGUUCUUGGAGUGCGGCGGCGGCGGCGUGGUCGUGGUGGGGAGCACGGCGGCGUCGGAGUCCAUGGGGACGGACGUGCGCGGUCAGCGGCGUGGCGCGCGUGCACCGUCCGGCGGGGCUCAACGGAAUGGGCGCGGGAGUGUUGGGUGGAUGGAUGGAAUUGCAAAAUUUGCGAUGCGUUUGUUGGUCGCUUGGAAGCCAGGGGACACACAGGGAGAGUUUUAACAGAGGAGGUUGGCUGGUUUAGUGGUGCGGGAGUGGUAUUUUUAAAAAAAACUGAUGAUAGUUGAACUGAAACCGCACGGCUGUUUUUGCUCCGUGGCGUCUAAAUUGGUUCGCUGAGUUUGUCGGUACACUGCUCCUCCAUCCGACCAUCCCUCGUUCGUGUCAUAUCCUUUUUUUUUUUUGGGUACUACUAGAUGCUGCUGUGCCGUAACGUAGAGUGAGCAAAAAAAUAAUAAUUCAAGCGUGGGUAAACGUUAUAGGUAGAAUAAACUUGGAACAGAAAAUAGUGGAUAAUCUGGUAGUGUAUCAUAUUUCAUUGCAUCGCAUAAACAUUUGUGCAAACAAUCGGAACUCAGACUUCGUUUACUCUACCUUUGGCUUCACGUUGAUGCCUUGAGAAUCAAUGAAUCAUGUCUCCACUCCACAGCAGAGGUUUCCUGUAAUCCAGGACACGCGUCGUCUGUUGAUCUGUAGCCGUGGUAGUAGAUGUGGAUAAACUAAGGCUUUGUUUAGUUCACCCCAAAAAUCAAAAAGUUUUCAAGAUUUUCCGUCACAUCGAAUCUUUCGUCAGAUGCAUGAAAUAUUAAAUAUAGACGAAAAUAAAAACUAAUUUCACAGUUUACCUAUAAAUCGCGAGACGAAUCUUUUGAUCUUAUAGUUAGUUUAUGAUUGGACAAUAUUUGCCACAAACAAACGAAAGUGCUACAGUAGCGAAAUUCACAAUCUUUUCGCAUAUAAACAAAGCCUAAAGUUUAAGAAAAAAAGUCUCCCUUAACAUAGUAUCAAGCAUUCAUUACUAUAGUAACGUUUUUAGAGGCAACUGAAAACAAUUUGUAUAGAAAGUUAUUUCAGACGUCUCUAUAUGUGCGUCACGAUUUAUAGAAACGUACUAGAAAUGGGUUCCUAGAGGUAAGCUUUUGGGUAAAAAAAAUGCAACCUGAAAGAGUCCAUCGUUUUUACAUCUAAGGUCAUUUGAGUAGUUCAAAAAAUAUAAAUUUUAAUAUUAGUAAUUUUAAAACAUGAAUUUAGUCCUUUGGUUGGCUUUCGGCUUUUUGAAAAGCAGCCCAACAAAGGGCCCUUAGCUGUUGUGGGCUCGUGGCUUCGCAACAAAAGUAAGUCCUUUUGAGUUCGGACAACGCCAUUACCAUUCAUUUUUCAUUACAAUUUCACGAGGCGGCUCCUGAGCACAUUUUUUUGCUUUGGCUUCGUCAUGGCUCUUCAGCGUACUUUUGUGAUAUAUGGCCAAUCAGAAUAGCUAUAAUGGAAUUACAAAAAAAACACGCUUGAUCCACAUCAAAUACAAUAAAAUAAUUAAGAAAGGUUAGGCUGCUAAACAGCACAGCUUUAUAAAAAAUAAGGCAGAAUCAGCUUCUCUCAAACGAACACGGCGUCGUAGCUCUGCAGUGGAUAGCAAUAAUACAUUUAUGCAGUGCAGGACAAUGGCAGCCGCAGCUUAAAAUUCAUCAGGGAGAGGGACAGCUUAAAAUACAGUUAUGCAUCUGGUGACAGUUGAGUCCAUACAACAAGUCAAGUGAGCUUGUGAUUAUGGUACAGGUCAGAGGUAACCUUAACUUGCUUAAUAUACAUGCACCACCAUUUUCAAGUUUUUUUAAUGCAACUCAAAGAUACAAGUGGACCAUGGAGACUUGAUAACGAUGCCAUCAAUUUUACAAAUACAAUGCUCCAGUUGCCCUCUUCUAAGCAUCCGCGUCAAUGAACCAAAAGAAAACUUAAAUUCAGUGUAUUUCCCAGUCCAAUUCCGGGAUAAGUGCAAAGUGCCUGGAAUAGCAAGAAAACACUGGAAAAUAUAUUGUUAGUCUACUGGCACAAAAAGAUGCCAUCAGAUGAAAAGAAGGUUAAAUCUUGAAUUAAGUAACUCCGUGUUCAUAUAGUAGUACCUUAAUACUAGCCUCGCUUUAUACCAAGAAUCUUGGCGCUGUAUUCCCAAGCAACAAUUGCUGCUGCAUUGGCAGGGAAUGCUCUUGCUAGAGUUGGUCCAAGUCCAGCAUAACAGCCACCCAUCCCAGCUCUCUUAUAAACCUGUCACAUUUCAAGCCAUGUGCAUUGAGGACAAGAUACUAGAUAAUUAAAACGUGAUAUUAUGAGGUCCUGUGAGAGUACUACCAUUCUCAAAAUCUGCAAGGGGUUUCGGCUCACAUGAGGGUCCGGAUCGGUCUGUAUUAUGGUUUUUGCCACAUCCAGCGGUAGGGUAGCUGUCCAGAACUGCAGAGAGAAAACACACUUAUCAUUAUGAGGGUGUAAAAUGUGCACUGCAAAGGACUUCAAACAAUUGUAAAUACUUACCGCCAUUCCACUAAUGCCACCACUCAUAACCCCUAUCCCAAUAUCUUUUGCCAGCACAAAAUGACUGCUAUCAGAAAAUCUCACAGAAUCCAAAUAGUUGUGCAUCCAGUAUCGACUGUACUCAUAAGUGCAGAAGAAGACAGCAUUGCCAAUCGCCUCUCUGAAUAAUGUUGCCAAACCACCACGGAAUAUACCCUUAAGCUGUAGCACAAAACAGCUGAUUAGUCUGGUAACAGUUAUUAAGCUACUAAUAAAUAGAAGUAGAAGGCCACUUGAGCUCACCCCUUCACUUUCCAGUGUUUUCACAGCACAAUCUAGAGGGCUGGAGUACCUAGCGCCAUGGAUUACAUCCUUCCCUUGAACUUGCAUUCUGCACUGGAAAAGGCCUUGACAUCACAUCAUUAAAUAUCACUAGAAUCAUGUAUCAUAAGUCCUUACAUCAAUUAGAAAAAAGUGGGAAUUUAGCACCAAUGCCAGUACCUUGGUGAGCUCAGUUGGAGUGAGGAUGCAGCUAAUCAGAGCUCCACUGCAUGCAGCAGAAGGGAUAAUUACCUGUAGAUGCGGCCUACCAACCUCAUAGCUUCCCUGAAAACACAUUUUUUUUUAGAAAACUAUACUAAACUAAAGCCAGGCCUUGACUCAAGAUUUGCAAUCUUCCUCCUUACUUAGCUACUGUUCAACAAUUAUAUGCUUAGUUAUUUUAGUUGGAAAGAUCAUUUGAAUACCUGUAAUAACUGUUUGGCUUGGGAAUAUGUGCCAAAGAAAAGGGAGCUUUCAACAGCUAUACCAAUAAAUGAAGACGACGCACCUUUGUACAGCCCUCUAAUCUGCAAGAGAAAAUAGCAAUGCAAUGAGCUUUCAGAAUGUUGAUAUGAUAGUGUAUAUCAAUCUUAAAUUUAACUACUGCAGGUUCCAAUACUGAGCCUAGCAUUAACUGCAGGCAAAACAGCCACAACAAUUUGAUCCCUUCUUUAAGUAUAGAAGGGUAAUGACACCGAGCAAUAUGAAAGAAGGGGCUUACUCCUUCCUCAAGCAGUAUCCUACUAGUGCAGUGGAACGCAUUCUUGUACACCUUUCCGUGAGCCGUGGUAUUAUGAGCUUGCAGUUUAACCUAACAGCAAGCAAAAAAAAACUCUUGAAUUUGCAUGGACCAAAGUUAUAAAAAAAUAAAUCUUAAAUUCACAUGAACCAAGUGUAUAUCAAUGACAACCAUAAAUUUCGUCCAGAUUGAAGAUCACUUCAUCCAGAGAACCGUCUGUUUUGUGUAUUUUGUACACUGGUAUACCAAGUAACCGUUCAAUAGGCCCUGAACUAACAAACAGAAUCUACAGUCAGAUGAAGAAUUUGUUAGUAUCACUUCGCAUAAUAUUACUUACAGCUGACUUUCCCAAUGUACUAUGGAGUAUGGACUUAUGUUUAAUCGAUUCAUACAGUGCCACAAUCACAUAGAAAUGUGGAUCAUCAGGGUCCAAUGGGAGUGAUGCCUAGUUUGGUGGCAAAUCCUUCAUCGAGGGUAAAACACCAUCUAAAUGAGGCCAGACAGCAAGGGCAAAGAGGACUGUUUAGGAUAGAGGACAAACCAUAAACUAGAAAUUUAAGGGGAAAUGGUAUACAUACUUAAUUCUUUUUACCAAUCAAGUACUAACAGUUACCCAUGAACGUUAACCAGGAUUACUGGACUAGCAUUAACUGCAGGUUGAUUAGCUUGUAAUGGUGUUAAGAUGCUGAGCUCCCCAUAAUUGUUAGUAAAUGGUUUGUACAUAUACCACUUCUCAAACCUAAGUGGUUAUUAGGCACCACUGUUCAUAGAAGCACAGUGUCUAAUCUAAGUUCCAAUCUAAACAUAAUACUUCCUACCAUCUCCUAAGAUUAUAAAUUUAAGAUAUUGACUUACUAAGCAAGAAACCUAAACUAUCCCCAAGCCUACUCAACUGACCUAGUAUUUCAGGUUCUGCUAUUGCUCUCUUAGGUGCACAAUCUGCAUGGAUCUUCAUGGAUUACAUGCAUUUGCUAUAAUGUGCUACUAAUCGUAACAAGCACGGGAAUGUAUAUGGAAGGGCAUUGUUGACCACCCAGGCUAUGUAAAGCACUGUAGGAUAUCUAUGUGCUGAUGAAACCUCGCAAGCAUUUCAUCGAACAUCUAGUAUCGUCGGGACAUAACAUGGCUGAAACAGGACCAACCAAGAAUCCAGAGUCCAGAGAAAAAUUGCGGAGAACGGAGCACAAGAAGGCAAGAACGAAGACAAGAGAGAAAGAAAUAUACCUUGACCGUGUCGAACGGGUGGCCGACUACAACCUGGGCGACGCCGGCGGCGGAUCCGGCGACGUACUCCUUGGCCGCAUCGCCCGCUCUGGCCAUCUGAAGAACUGGCGGCGGGCGCAAGUACUCGAAUGUCUGCGAAGAGGGAAAUGCAGAACUGGGGGACUCCCCAAGGGGAAAGGAUGGCCCUGUCCCUCCGGAAUUCCGGCGCCUGCGGCUGGGAGGAGAAACGAAGGAGAAGGAACGAGGAAGCGCCGGCCUCACGAGUCUCCCCGUUCUGUCCUAUACUUACUGCUUUAAAAGUACGGAGUAGGUUUUGAUCGGACCAUUGUACUGCUCCAUCCAAAAAGAAUAUUACGUAUCCCUUUUGACCAAAUUUAAUAUAAAUUUCUUUUUAUUAUUAAUAUUAAAGUACAAGGUUUUUAUACCACUCUUUAGGUAGAAAAAUUUACACAAAGAUAUUUAUGAUUAAGUGAGACUUAGAGAUAGAUGCUCUUUCUUAGACUAGACCAAAGUUUUAGGCAAUAAAGUAAAAUGGUUAUUAACCAGUAUAUUAGAUUGUCUAGCUCUUUGACAAUAUGUUGGGAGAAUAUAUUAGAGUAGUCAAUGAGACAAAAACUAAAUUUGUGUGAAUAUAUAAGGCUGAGAUGUGUUGCCACCUCUUAGGUGUCUUUGACAAAUCGGUUUGUAAUAUGCACAACUAUGAUGACUCAGAGUCUUUCUAUGCUAUUCCACUUGAUGAUAGUCCUAUACUUAGUGAAGACCCACCCACACAUGAUGAUAUGCCAUAGGCCAACACCAAUGCGUACCGAGAAUUCCACAACAAACCAACCGACUAUAGAACACAUCAGUACGGUACACGACCCACACAUAACGAAGAUGAAGCAAAGCAACUAAACGUUGAGCCUAACAGGGAGACAUAUUUUUGACAACGAAGAGGAGUAUGUUAGAGUUGACUAUGAGCACAUCUAUAUACCAAAUUGACAGUACCACCUGCAUAGCCAACCACAAAUGACAUUGCACAUCAUGAUGAUGAAAAUUCUAAUUCUAUAUAUUAUUGCUAAAGGAGGUGUACCUCUUGAGGUAGAAGUGAAUGGUGUAGGUCCUCCGGAGAUUAUGUGUUUCAUGAUCUUGAAAAUUCCAAUGUUUAGCAAGGUGCAUAUCAUAGCAUUCAAGAAAGUUGUGAGGCAUUAUGUUGUGAAGAAAGGGUUUUCGUUUGUUGCUGAUAAGGCCAAAUUCAUUGACAAGUGUAAAUCCAAGGGGUACCCAUGGAGAAUACAUGCUUUAAUGAUUUUUUAUGGCAAAACAACCCAAGUUUGGUGGGACAAAACCCACCAAAGUCUUCAUUUCUUAGAGCACUAUACUUUGCUUUUUUUAGGUCAUAAACUUCUUUGGGCAAUUUGUUAUGUAACUCUUCAACUUCUUGAAUAGUGUUCUUCAAGUUAUCGACUUUGCUUUGCUGCCAUUUUGUGCUAUAGCUGGAGCUUUUGUCUAUGUAGUUUCUCGAUCUCUUGCUUGUAUGCAUAGUUUCAUCAAGGCAUGGCUCUUGUCGGUUGGUUGAUGUGUUUUCACUCUUAGACUCAUUGUCAGUGGGGUGCCCUUCAGUAAGGAUCCCUAUUGGGCCAGUUUCUUUGGUAUGUGUGGGUCUUCGACAUUGGUUGGAAAGGGUUGAGUUCUCUUCAACCCCUCCAGGAUUUCCAUUGUUGCUCCUUUUUGGUGGCAUUGGAAGGUUUGAGCAACAACCACGGUGGGCGCGAAAUGUUGUCCUCACUGAAGUCUUAAACGGUUGAGCAAGUGGAGGAAUGCAAAGAUGAAAUAGCGGAGUUGUUAAACCAUUAUCGAUGGUGGUGUGUUUGACAAGGCUGAACAUAUCAAACACAUAUCAACUUAUGGUGAUCGAGAAAUGUAUGUAUCUUUCUUGUCCUAAGGUGUUCAAUGCGAUAUAAUCAAUAGAUAAAGUGGUAGUUGUAUGAUGGGGAAUCACAAAAAUAACUCAUGUUGGAGCUUUUAUGGGACAUGGCCUACGGGGUUGGGUUCUCCAAGUCGACUAGGUCAAUUUAAGCCUUAUGCACGCAAUAUUGGGAAUGGUAGCCAUGUACAAACCCAACAGGGUACAUUCGGGUUAAUGCGGUAUACUCAAUGGAUACAAUGAUAGUUGGGUGGUGGGGAAUCACAACAAUAGCUCAAGGUGGAGCUUGUAUGGGACAUGGCCUAUGGGGUUGGGUUCUCUAGGUCGACUGGGUCGAUUUAAGCCUUAUGCAUGCAAGAUUAGGAAUGGUAGCCAUGUACAAACCCAACAGGGUACAUUUGAGUUUACCUGGCUAGAUGUAAAUGGAUUCGAAAACCACUGCUCUUCUUUAAUAUGGAUACCACUUGGCCUUUUGUCACUACCGUAGUAACAAUUGGAACAUGAUGGAUGAUGGGGAUAAUAAUGGAUCAUGUAUUUUGAUUGCUUAUCACAUACUUGAAAAUAUUUACCUAGACUGACUAGCUAAUGAACUUAUCAUGACUGCUAAACUUGAAAUAUAAAGAUCCACUGCUAGUAAGCUUUUCUACAUAACCAACAAAACUAGCUAGACAAACAACUAGAGUUUAUUUCCAUUGUUGCAGAUGACAACAAUGGGUGAGAAAAUCUUCAUUGCCUUCCAAGCCUAUCGCCGUGGUACAGGAUGGGUCCUUUGGAUUUCAUAGUUUUCUCUUAGUGGGUACAAUGAUGACAUCUUUUAUGAUGCCUUUUUGUAAUUUAUUUUUAUUCACCUUGUGAGAUUGUGGUUGCAUGCAGAGGCAGAACUCUCUUAUUUUGCCAUUCGUCAUAUGCACAAAUUGUCAAACUUGUUUCUUCCCAUGAACUUAUGAAUAAAUAUUGUAAUGAAUUCGUUGAAAAAUCCUAUGUUGUAUGAAAUGGUCUAAUGAUGUUGUAAGCUUUAUUUGCUAUCAGAGGAUUUUGGAUGAAAAGCGGAUUGUUUUUUAGUUCUUCCUUGUGGUGCAUUCGAUAGACAAUCAAGUUUAGAUUAGACUAAAUUGGGUGGUCCUUUCACAAUUUACCACCCUCAUGGUGCCAUAUAGAACAUCCAAUGUGGUGCCAUGCCGCUACGUAGAACUAAACCGCCUUGAAAAGCAUCCUAGGAGGAAAACAAUGUUUCAAAACAUCCUGUUCGAAGAGAUAAAUUAAACUACAACAAUAGUUGAAGGAAAUUAGAUAAGUUCAAACUACAGCAAUAGCUGAAGGAGAUCAGGAGUUCCAAUCAUCUCCAAUAGUUUCCUAAAUAAACUUGUUAUUUCUUGUUUAUUUGGUAAAACUAGAAAAUAGCCACUUCAACAGUUUUGGUAAAUGGGUUGCCAUCUUUUGGCAACUUGCCAUCUAGCAGCACCGCGCGCCCAUAUUUGUCAACUUGCCAUCCAGCAGAUUAGUUGAUUUGGUUGUUGGUUGUGGAUCUUCUUUUUAAAUUUAUCAAGCUCAAUUGACAAACUGUUGGAGAUAGAAGAAAAUCUCACUUGCCUCAUUAACAAGUGAGUUUUACCAAACUGUUGGAGAUGCUUUAGAACCUAACUCAACCUCCGUCGUGGACCAUUCCGUCCUUUCAAUCGUACCACCAAGAAAAUCACAUUGUUUCUUCCUAUAAAAUAAAUCCAGAAAACUUGCAUAUACAUGUCGAGUUUAAAAUUUAAACUCGGAUUGAUAGGUAAAACUACAAUUGCCAGGUACCAUAAGAAACCUAAGCGCAAACGCCUACUGCAGCAUUUUGCAUGUCAGAUGCUUUAAAGGUCGUCCACUGUUUUUAGGCGACAUACGUAUGUGCUAAUUUUGCCGAUUCAAAGAGACCGACGAGUACUUUUUAUCUUAUUAAUCAAAAAAAAUAUAAGUAUCCAUAAAGUGAAAUACUACUUCUCCCAGCCCCACGCAAUAGUAUGAUAAAGAAACCAUCAAAUAGUGAUAAAGAAAACUCAGGUUACAUGAUGAUUGUUUUUAAUUUAUCGCCAUGAUAAACAAGUUGAUCCCGAGCUCCUCUGUGGCUCUGUCAACACUUGAAGAUGUGAGAACCCUUGCAGAACUGACUUUUGGAUCAUGCAAGCGGACUACCAUUUGUGUGAAAUAUAACUCCGGACCAAUGGAGCUUCUGUAGAAUUAUUUAAACACUUCAAUUUGCUACGGAAAAAAGAAUCGUUGCCUCUCUCUCCUCCACAAAGGGGAGGGCUUGAUUAUAUUAGGUGCAGUUCAUGUGUACAAAAGAAUGUCUGCCUUUGCCGCCUUUGCCAGCUCGUACAAAACUAAAAAUAUGCAUCCUUUGUUUCUUAUGUGAUUUAGGGAUGGCGUCCCUGGACAACUAUGACUUUUUUUUGGUGUGUGUGUGUUUGUUUCAACUAAACUGGGUCACUGCUCCUAGGUACAAUCCGUACAUGAAGGUUGGCUAGCAUAGAGCUACAGAUACUGCCUACUCUGUUGCCAUCAUCUUCAUCUUCAUUUCCAUCAUUGUUCGGAGGGACAUCGGUGAAAUGGAAACUCUGGCCCUCCUCUAGGUCGGGAUCAUCAUCCAUGAAACUUGUCUUGGACAUGGUCUGUGGGCUGUUAUCUCUUUGAUCUCGCUCUCUGUUUCCCUCCUCUAACCCAUUGUUGCUGUGAUAGCUGGAAUGAUAGUGAUUUCCAAAGUUCGGUGGUUCAUGGAAAUUAUCCUGUGAACCAGUAAGGUGUGCAUAAUUCAGUGCCCAAUCGCUGUGCUGGUUGGAAGAAUGGGCAGAUGUGUAGUGAUUUGCAAAGUCUGGAGGCUCAAUGAAACUGUCGCAAGGAGGCUCAGAAAAUCUGUCUCGUGGAUCAGUUUGGCGUGCAGAGGCCUGGGCCCACCAAGGGCAGCUUGUAGAAUUAUGUUCCCUGUCCUGGCGCUUGAAAGUGGUACGUUGAAAGAAUGCACUCGUUGCUGAUGCUUCCAAGUGGCUUCGAGCUCUUUCAUACAAAUUAGAAUCCCAGAUUUGCUCCUCUUCAAUCUCAGUUAGUGGCUUGCUCAUAGGUGGCAGCCAUAUAUCCUCCCCCGAUUCAGGGGAUGCUUCACCGCGGUGGGAAUAUGAGUCCAAAUCUCUGCCUGAACGUUCAGAGUGGCAUGUGUAAUACCAGUCCAGGAUAUACGGAUAAGCUCUUUGAUCUGUGUCAAGCAGUCCUAAUGGAUUUAAGUUGUAAACAAUCCCAAUGCCUGGAAAAACAUCACUGGGGCGCAGCCGAUGCAAAAUGUUGCCACUCUGACCUCUACUACUCGACCAAAGUUGUGAAUCUUCCACUGUUUGUUGAAAAGUAUAUUUGCGGAUUUGCUUUUCCUUGAAUCUCUGGAGAUUGCACAAAAACUGCUUGCCAUCUGGAUUUGGUUGCCAUGAUGUAUAUGUGCUUUGGAAACUGUCAACAUAAAAGGGCAUAGCCACUUUAGGUCAACGUCUAUCAAAAGUAAUUUAUGCAACAUUCCUUCCCUUUGAAAUGAUUUCAUAUGCCAGUUUUCCAUAGCACUGUUAAUGAGAUUAUUAUGAUUUAUGAGGAUUGGAAUUUAUUUGUAUACUCUACUAAAUUCAAUCACAUAGGAAACAAUUAAUCACUAUACUUAAGAACAUAUCACAUCUCAGUGAUAAAGGAAUCAUACAACUCUGGAUGAAAUUAAGCUGAUUACUGAAGUGUGGAGUUUUUAUUAAAGAUGACACAGUAUGAUUUUGUUCAUAAAAUCAACCAGAAUGGUUUGUGGAUGUUAAGUAUCCUCAAUUCCAGAAUACCUAUAUGGAUGCACACGAUAAACUGAGCCAGUUUUUAUUAUUAAUUAAAGAGUAAAAUGCACGGGCGGGCCUUAAACUUUGUGGUGCUGUCAGCUAGGUCUCUUAACUGUUAAAAUGCACAUCUAGGUUCCUAAACUUACUAGGUGUCACUUGCGGUCCAAAUUACCCUAAUUAACAUGUAGCAUGAAGCCCAAGAGAUCCUCAGUUACUACUCCUGCUCAUGUUUAGCAUCAGGUGUCAUAUUUACAUGCCAGUGCCACAUAAGCAAUUUGAGCUGAGCAGAGUGAUUUCAAUCUCGAGUGGCACAUUACACAAGUGUAUACCUAAGUGCAUAGCAAAAACCAUGAAUCUAGAAAAGCAAAAACGUCUUAUAAUUUGGAAUGGAUGGUACUAAAAAAAAGAUGUGUACCUUAAUAAUGAUUUCUCCAUUUUCCCCUGGGAGCUCCUCGUAUCUUUUACUGAAUCAAGUGGUGAACCAUAGUUCCUAUUUCCAUGUCUUCGGAGGUCAAACAAGCUUAAGCUAUUGAGACAAACAGAAUGAUGUUAAAGACCUUGCAAAGUAGCAAAAUUAGCAGAUUGUAAUAAUUAAUAGCACAACAGAAAGCCAAACCUGCAAACAUCUCCCACUCCAUCUACAUAAAUUGUAAAUUCCGAAAUGAAGCACAAAAUAUCAUUGACACGCUGUACAUGGGGAAAAUUCAACCAUUAUACAGCAUAAUCUGGAAACAAACUUCUGUUGAUGUUGCUCAAAAGUCAAAACAUUACCUUUGGAAGCACAAAUAUUAGCAAGUAAGGAGUGAUGAAAAUCGAGGCCAUCUCUUCCAAAAGCAUCGUUAUGGUAUACUGCAAUUACAACAAUCAGCAAUCCUUCUAAAAGCUUAAUUGUAACUUAUACAUUGGAUUGAUAGACCACAUAAGUAUAGCCCAUUACUUAUAAAUGCACAGCAUGGGUUCCACGUAGACAGUGAUUUACUGAGUUCUUUUAUAAACCAAGAAGAAAAAACUAAGGGGAGAGGCAAUCCCUCGGUCAUCUUAAGAGACUACUGAACCCUUAAGUAGGUUCGGCACUCCCCUCUCUUAAGACACAUCUAGUUCUCUAUGGUUCUACGUAGACAGUGAUUUACUGAGUUCUUUUAUAAACCAAGAAGAAAAAACUAAGGACAGUGAUUUACUGAGUUCUUUUAUAAACCAAGAAGAAAAAACUAAGGGGAGACGCAAUCCCUCGGCCAUCUUAAGAGACUGCUGAACCCUUAAGUAGGUUCGGUACUCCCCUCUCUUAAGACACAUCCAGUUCUCUACCAACCAAACUACUGCUCAGUUCUCCUUUUUAAGCAUAAAUCACACCAGAUAUCUAAAUGCCUAAACACUGGUACUACUGAAAUGAAGUAUUCUCAGUACCACAGCAAAGAUCCAUUAACUCGUUAUGUUGGAAGAACAUUAAUGUGCCAAUGACAUGUGGCUGCAGGCACCCACUUGAUAACCUCACAUUGGAUGGAAUUUUUCGGUUUAAUGCAUCUUUGCGUCUACUGUAAGCUCAUUUUCCAUUAUCAUAAGUGCAUUUGCUUGACUAAGAAUUACUGAAUUAUUAGUAAUACCCAACUUCAAAACAAUUAAGAUUUUUUUUUGUCAAAGGUGUGAUCUAGAACUAUUAAGAUAAUUUUUUUGCCAAAAGUGUGAUCUGAGAAAAAAAAAUGAGGGAAGGAAAUUACCUGAAAUAGAGUUUCAAAUUCUUUCCGCACAACUUCACUGCUCUCUUUACCACGCCAUCUUUUUGGCAUGUAAUGCGUAUGUUGGACAACAAGGGUCAUGGCUCCUUCUGGAUCAAUCACUUGAAGCUCAUCUGCCACAACUUUACGACUUACAGCUGCUAUGGUUCCAAAAACAACAGUAUACCAGAAAAGAUUUCGGCCAAAAACCUUCAUAAGACAUAAAAGACAUGAGAUUCAAAAGGCGGAAGGUACCCAUUGUGUGACACUAAGGAUGGUGUGUGUGUGUGUGGGGGGGGGGGGGGGGGGGCUUACAUGUCCCUCAAGAAUAGAUUCCCCCAGGAAUCCAAGGAUGAGAAGAAUUCCAGCCAAGCCGCCAGAUACAAAUGAUACAAAUUUUGCAACAAUAGAUAUUAAUGGAGUUGGAAACUGCUUUAAAUAAUUUAAAGAGUGAAGAGUGCAAUUAUCCAUCCUAUGUCUGAAGAAAUGCUCAACCUGAAAUAGCCAAAAGCAGCGGCAUUUAGGGCAAAAUGGAAAAGAAACAAGAUUAACUACAUAUGAUCUACAUGUUCUUUUGUUGGGGAUCUGUCCCAAUUCCCCAAACACUAGGAAAAUGGAAAGGCUGACCACACAAUCAUUUGGCAUUUUCUAGCAGUGCAGCAAAAGAAAUCUAUUUCUACCUCGUUGUACUCCCGCAAAAUCCACCUUGACAAAUUUGACCAUCUUCGAGAUGAUGCUGUACUGGGAUUAUUGUAGAAUUCUUCAGCAUGUCUCAGAAACAUGUAUACCAAUGGGAAGAUGACAAGGCAGGGCGACAGCAAAAGCAUUGCAAUGCCCAUAAAUACAAGUCGCUUUGUCAAAACAGAUGGGCCUGUUAGAAAGUCUUUCCUGACACAAAAUUUACUGCAAAAGAAGAUGGCAUGGGGUUUGCAUUAAAAAGAGUAAGAUGGUAUUUCAAAGGAAUAGGAUCAACAAACAAUGAGUAAGAACUACACGGGAAGAG
rnacentral:lncRNA from 1 species